rnacentral:lncRNA from 1 species
AAAAAAAAAAACUAUUGCUGGUGAAGAAUUUGUAGAAAUUAUGGUGAGGAGUUGAUGUUCAAUUUUUUAUACAUAAAUCUGGGUUUUCUAGGUGCUGAUGGUGAGGAAUUUGUAGAAAUAAUGGUGGGUUUUCUGGGUGAGGAAACUGUAAAAAAGAAAGGUGUUGAUGGUCGAUUAGUUUGGCAAUUUCAUGUUAGAAGUGGAGUUGUUUGGGGGAUUUGUGUGCUGCCAAUACUCACAUGGCUUGAUUGGUAUUUGUAAUUUUCUUGAAUUUGUGUUCUGCAAAAUUUUUUUAUUAGAUCAUGAAGAGAUUGAGAUUUGUUUCCAAGAUUUAUUGUGAAGUUCUUUUUGUGCCCGAGUCAUUUCAAAUAUGCUUUUUUUUUUAAUUCAUAUUUCUUGCAUUGGUAGGUAGAAUUUAAUUUAAUUUUAGAAGUAAAAUAAAAAAAUAAAAAAUCAAAUCAAGACUAUUAAGAAUAUCAAUAACAAGAUUCUAGAAAAAAAAAUUAGGAAAAGGGUAAUAAAUAAAGCAAACCGAUACCAACCAAAUGAGUAGUUGAGGAAAUUCAGAAUUAGAAAAAAAAUAUAGCAGUGAAAAGAAAAGGAAAAUAAAGUUUUUUAGAAGAAAAACAGAGUUUUAAAAAAAAUAAAGAAAUAAAAAAAAAUUUAAAUUUAAAUUUCUUUUUUAUUUUUUGAAAUAAAAAAACUUUAACAAAAAGGUAACACAUUUCACCAUUUUAGUGGCUCAUAUGUGGUCAGAAAUUAACAUUGUUAGUUCUUAGCCCUCAUGUCACGUUAGCACUUAGCCCUCAUGUGUUUUUAUAUUAAUAUUAAUUUAAUUAUUUUAAUUAAUAUAAAUUUAAAAUAAAAAUAAUCUAAAAAAUAAUAUAUAAGUGCUGAUGUGACACAAUAUAAUUGGUCAAUGAUUGUUUAAUAGUGUUAAGAUUUAAGGAGAUUUAGAUAACAGUGAAAUAGUUUAAAUACAACUCCAAAUAAAAAGAAAGUAUAAGUGUCAGGUAGUUUAGAUUGCAAUUUGUUAAUUGAUCCAAUAUUUUAUUAUAUGUGGAGAGUAAAAAGUGUAACAAUUAUUUUCUUACAUGUAGCCUAAAAGGUUCAAGUAAUAGAAUAUAUUCACACUUUUUUUAAAAAAAAAUACCUAACACGUAUGACUAGUAAAAUUAAGUUUUGUUUUUUAUUUUUUUAAAAUUUUUUAUUUUUAUAUUGCCUAAAAGGUACUGAUGAAAUUAAAACAUUGACACAAAUAUUAUAUUUUUAAAAAAUAAUAAAUUUUAAACUAUAUAAUUUAGAAAAUCAUUUUAAAUGAAUCUAGACAAUUGUAUGUCUAGAUUUAUUUUGGACUUACCUUUUAAGUGUUUUUAUUAAUUUUUAUUUUUUUUGAAAAUUUUGAAACUUUUUAUAAAUAUAUAAAAAACUUUUUAAAUUUUUUUAUUUUAUAAAUUUUUAAGUUUUGAAUUAAAUAAAUCUGGACAACCAUUAAUCUAGGUUCCUUCCAAUAAAUAAAUAAAUAUUUCUUUUAGUUUUUUUAUUGUUUUAAAAAUUAAAUUUUUUAUUUUGCUAAUGUGAUGUGGCACUAUCAUAUUAGCAAUGGUAACUAAUAUGGAACGCCACGUCAAAGUUAUAACAAUAAAAACAAAAAAUAUUGAUAAAAAUUUUUAAUUGGUACAAUUUAAGAGUUAAAAACUUAAUUAAAUGUAUUUUUCAUGAAUAAACUUAAUUGAAUGAAUAGAGACAUAUGAAAGGAAAAGUUCCAAAUUGUUGCAGUAGAUACUGAGGGACAUGAUAAUGAUUGGAUAGAAGAAAAUCAUCAAAACCUGUCAUUCUUUAUGUUUAGGUUUAUUAAAGAUUUCUUUUUGGAGGUUUUUGUAAUUCUAAAACAGUAUAUAGACAUAUAUGAGUUAAAUAAUAGGUACUACUAUAUAACACAAAAUUAAAGAUAGGGUUGAAUCCAAAUGGAGACUUAAUUUUGAGGUUUUUAAUUUUGAUUUAGAUUUGAUUUUGGUUAUUAGGGAUUGGGUUUUGAUUAGAUGAAUUAUACAUAUAGAAAUGAACCGGGUUCAAGAAAAAUUCACCCAAAGCCCGGCCCAAAUUAUAAUUUGAUUGAAUUAUUGUGCAAGCCUAUUAUCAUUUUUCUAAGUCUGAUGAAGUUUCUUAUAAUCAUAAAUGGACUAACUUCAUAUAAUACCUUGAAGUUUAUCAAAUUCAUCAAUAUGGUUUUUGCACUUUAAUUUUUUUUAAAUUAAAAAAAAUAUAAGAAUUUAAAAAAUUUAUUGAAAUAAAAUUAUUUUUAAAUUAUGAAAAGUUCAAUUUACUUGUUAAAAAAUAUAUAUCAUUUUCAAAAAUGAAACUUAUAAAUCCCUUGUAACCUCCCCAACUCAACCUAAACGUUAGACUCGAAUUCGGGAGAUUACAUUGGCCACCGAGAUGACAUAGUACGAUUGAAGUUUAUAAAACAGUCAAUUUAAAAAAUAUAUUUAUUUUAGAAGAAAAUUUAGUCCAUUUUCAAGAAAACUCGCGAGUUAUAAAAAAAAACGUUUUAGUUUAACUUUCCAAAGUAACGGUGACUUCUUUAAGAAAACUUAGUUAAUUUUUCAUACAUUUAUUACUCAAAAUUUUUAAUUACAAUCUAGCGGCGGAAAAGUAAUUUUUAACUUAGUUUUAAUAAAAUUUGUAUUUCAUGCUUAAUCAAUUAAAAACCAUAUUUUAAAUUAAGUUAAAUGUAAUGCAUGCUAAAUAAAACAGAAACCUAAGUUUCAUGCCACAGUUCAAAAAUAAAUCCAUACAAUCUCUGAAUAAUAUAUAAUCAAAUAAUAAAUAUAAAAUAUUUAUAUAGAAAAGUAAAUCCGAGCCGAGCCCCUCCGAACGCCGUGUCCACAUCCUAACCUGGCGGGUUAUCUGAAAACAUGGAAAUUAAAAAGGGAGUGAGUUAUGAAGCUCAAUGUGCAUUCAAUCACAAGAAAAUCAAUAUGGAACAGUAAACAUAGCAUAUAAGAUAUCAAUUCAUUAGAACAAACAAAUUCGUCUAACAAUUCACAAUUCACAGUAGCGGUUUUGAUAAUAACACAUCACUAUAACAUUUUAGAACUCACAAUUUUAUAUGCAUAUGCUUAUGAAUGGCAAUACAAUUCUAGUUUAUCAGAAAAAGUCCUACUCCACCGCUACACACUACACUAUGAGUUCCCAAGAACUCAUCCAGCCUUAUCACUCUGCGUUGUGAACAAACCACCGUUGAUUUGCAAUUAUUGCCACUUGUUUUGGGUCCACAACAUAUUUGUAAAUUAAAUGAACUGCCACUUGGCUCGUGAUCGAACCACAUAUUUGCAAUUAGUGCCACUUGUUGAAGGUGCACAACAAGUUUGUAGAUUAAACAAAUUGCUACUUGGUUCAUGAUCGAACUGCAUAUUUACUAUUACUAUCAUUUGUUAUGGGUGCACAAUAUAUUUGCAGAUUAUUGAACUACCACUCUUACUCCGUAUAUAUCAUUCCACCCCAUGCAAUGCAGUAUGACAUGUUUUGUAAUAGAAUAAAUCAACGCUAGCAAUAAUCAUCCUUAAAUUGUAUUCGAUUUAUCACUAGCAAUUAAUAUGCUUAACGUGUAUUCAACACAAGCAGUAAACAUGCUUUAAGAGGUAUUCAAUAGGGUGGUGACAAUAUUAGAACUAAUAGUUUAUUUGUUUCACAAUGACAGUAGCAUGUAAUAUACACUUCAUGUAUGUUAUAGCCAUAACACUUCAAUCAAUCACAAACUCCAAAAUUGCACAAUAUCAGGGACUGAGUUGAGCAACUAAAAACUCUAAAAAUAAUUCUGGGUAUAUACAACAAAACAUAUCAUAAAUUUUUGAGCAAAAAUGUAAAACAGGGGGCACAUCGCCGUGUAGGGGGCCAUCUGGUCCCCACUCCCGUAUGGCCCUAAUCUUACACAUGAUCACCACCGAUUCGCUUGGGAAAAAACACACACCUUUCGUCGCGGUUCGAUUGACGUUCCUCACAAUUAAUUUUGAUCUUGUUCACCUAAAUCCAAUCUUUCUACAGCAAACAUACACAAUUAACAAUUGGUAUCAAGAUUGGAAAGAUUCGAAGAAAUUGAUUAAUUGGCUCAAAAGAUUAACACGAGAUAAUGAUAUUAUGGAAGUUUGAGAUCUAAUCAUUGAGAUGAAUGCACUUACUGAUUUUUUGGAAGCUACUUGACGACAAUCUAAGUACCGGUAGAAAUAAACAAACGAGGGAACGAUUUGAUUCGGGAGAGCAAAGUAAUUAUCAAAAUUUAGGAUGAAAAUAUAGUGUAAAGAAAAGGAAAAAUAAAAAGUGAAUAAAUAGAAAGAUGGAGAACAGGAUUUGAAAAAGGACAAUAUGAAAAUCCAAUUUGGAAAAUGAGAGAAAAAGAUGACGGAAUUCUAAUUCUAUUGGGAUUUUGAGGAAGGGCAAGAUAUGAAUUCUAUUUAGGAAAGAAUUUGGUGAAUUAAACCCUAGCACAUGCAAAUUUCUCAAAUUAGGAGCAAGGGGCGACAAUUUGCAAACUUAAUUUAAAAGUAACUGGAAGGGAGAUACGUGGCUCAAACUCGGGUCUAAAGUGGUAAUAACGCUUGCCUUAACCAUUGGGAUUCUACCCAUUUCUUGUUAAAUUUCUACUCCAAAUAAUAUUUAUUUUAGUAUAUUUUUUAUCCUAGGUUUCUGAAAAUUAAAGUUAAAAAGAAAAGAAAUGAGAUGAGUAAGGUUUAAACCUAAGCUAUCUAGAAAGAAAAGCUAAUACUUAACCGUUAGGCCUAAGGCUAUUUCUUGCUUAUUUCAGUCACUUAAUUGUAUGUAUUUAUUUCGGGCUCAACUUACAUAUUCUUUAUUAGCUUAUGCAUUUACUUAAUAUUUUUAUUAACUUAUUUAACUUUAUAGUUUUUUACACAUCCCCAUUUUAGCUUAUAAUAAGUAAUACUCAUAGUCAGGUCUCAUUAUUAAUAGUUUAAUUCAUUUUACCCAUUUUCCAAUUAGGUCAUAACUCGAUUAAAACAUACUAUUUUCAAAUUAAACCUUGUAAUCAAGUUUCAUUUUAGAUUAAUUCAUAUAAUAAUACCUUAUUAUAUUAUUUUAAUAUUUUAAUUAAUUAUUUCAAACACUCGAUUUAUAAACGCUUAAAGAUAACCUUAUAAAUCAAGGUGUGACUACUUCCAGUUUUCACAACCCGAUUUCUUUUAUCCCGAUUUUUGGAGUAUUCAAAUUAAUUUUGAAAUUGAUAUUUUUCAAUAAUACAAAAAAUUAUUGACUAUACAACUAAUACAACUCUUAAAUUUUUAAAAAUAUUCUGAAUCAAAUUAAAAUUAAAUUUUCAUGUGUACAUUUAAAUAAAAAUCAAAAUCACAUGUGUAAUUACACCAAAUUAAAGAUUAUGUAUCGCAUUAAACAAUUGAUCAAAGUUCAUAUGUAAUUUUAUAUUUAUUGUUAUUUUAAAAGAUAAUAUACUAUUGUCUAGAAAAUACUAAAUAGUCUCCUUUUUUAAUUUUUUAAAGAAAACUAAAAUAACUCAAUUUAAUUUAAUAAUUUAAAAAACUAAGUUUUUAUUUUUUAUUUUUAAAAAUAAUAUUCUAUAUUAGAAAUUAUUUUAAACUGCAAGAACCAUAUUCCUAGAUUUAAUAAAUUUUAAAAGCCAUUAUGAUAUUAUCCCAAUUUUGGAAUGCAUAAAAGUUAAAACAUAUCUCUCAUAAGGCGUCUGUUGCCUUUAGCCCAAAUAAUAUCAUGAUGGGGCUUAAAACUUUUCAAAAUCUAUGAAUAUAGUCCUGGCACUUUAACAUAACACUUAAAAACAAUAUAUUAUUUAAAUUUUUUUUAAAAAUAGAUUCUUUAAAAUAAUAAAUUAAAUUAUUUCAUUAGUUCUUUAAAUUUUCAAAAAGGAGAUUAUUUAAUAUUUUCUAAAAAAAUAGUCCACUAUCUCAAUUUGCCUUUGUUACAGUUAAAUGUUACAUUUGUUGUUAUAACAAGGAAUACAACAAAGUAGUAUUGCGAGAAAGAAGAUAAACACAACUAAUUUACUAAAAUUGUUUGGAAUAAAAAAAUCCUAUCUCUGUGGAACCUAAUUCAUAGAAUUAUUUUACUUCACAAUUAACCCGAUACAGUAAUUGUAAUUUCAAAAUUAUCUCAAAAUUGUUAUAAUCACUCUUUCAAAAACCCAACCUUACAAUUAAAAUAACUAUCCAAAGAAUACAUAAGAAAAUAAUAUUAUAAUAUUAAGUAGCAAGAUAGUGAAAUACUCAAAUAACAAACAUUCUAGAAGAGCAAAUAAGCUUCAAAUAAUUUUAUCAAAAUUUGAAGUAAAUAUAUGCCAAAUUUAAAUAUUUCCAAUAAUAUUAUCUAUUUCAAUAUUUGAAUAUAAACUUGAUUACCUUCAAUUUAAUCUAACAAGAAACAUUUUUGAAUUCUCCUCUUCCCUUUAAAAAUGUCACCACAUGAAUAAGAGUUUAAACUCUUUUAUAUUUAGUUCCGUUGUAAAUAAAAAAUACAUCUUGCAUUUGAUGCCUAAUUAAAAUAUUAAUUAUCAAUAUUAAUCUUAUACAAGUUAAAAAAGUAAUAGAUCAUUUUUAGUGGUAUCAAAAAUGGAAAUUACGAAACCCCAUUUUCUCAUGAUCGAGUCAAUAAAUAUUAAUUAUUAAUAUUUACUAGUUUAUUAUGGUUUUAUAUUAAAUCUUGGUCUGAUAAUUUUGGUGAUUGAAGGAUUAAUUAGAGUACAAGGACUAAAUUGUAAAACUUAAUAGUCAUUGAUUUUUAUUAGUUAAAAGGCUUGAAUAGUUAAUAUACAAGGGUUUAAGUAGUAAUUAGACCAUAAUUUAAUGGCAUGGAUGGUUAGUGCUUAGAUUUUUAAUUAAUUAAAUGUUAAAAUUAAGUUAAAAGUAAAGUUAAAAUAUAAUAAAACAUAAACAAAUCAUUCAUCUCUUUCAUUUAGUCAUCUUCACCAUUGGGAAUAAGAAAAAGAGAAGGAGGAAGCCAUUUUUUAAUGCUUAAACUUUCGGCCUUGCAUGUAAGCUAAUUCCAAACUCAUUUUUCAUAAAUUUUAUGUUUUUGAGAUUGUUGUAGCUUAAUCUAGCUAACCUAGAUACUAAAUUGUAAAAAUGUUUAAGAUUUCAAAAGUCAUCAUUGUUUUUUUAAGCUUUUUGGAUGUUAACUGGUAGAGUUUGAAGCUUUGUUAUGGAAUAUGACUGUUUUGUAAAGUAGUUUUUGUUAGUUUUAAGUUUAGGGACUAAAAUGUAAUAAUGUCGAAUUUAACAUAAAAAUUCUAUAAUAUUCUAUGCCUGAGAUUUAUUGAAGAAUGAAAUUGAAAAUGGAAUAAAAACAAAGCUCAAAUGUAAAAGAUAUGCUAGUUUCAAUUUUAGGGACUAAAUUGAAUAAAAGGUAAAAGGUUAGGGAAAUGUUGUAAAUUAUUAUUAAAGGGUCAUAUGCAUAUGUUUAGACAUUACAAGGUAUUUGAAGUUGAUAAUUAAAUUCAAAUUAUUAUAUAAAUCAAUAAACGGAUCAACCGGUCAAGAAACGGAUCAACCAGUCAAUAAACGCGAAAAAAGAAAAACUAUUGAAUAAAUCUUGGUGUCGUGUUUGUUGUUGUUGUUUUGAUUAGGUAAUUUCAUAUAAUACUUAUUUUGUUUAAUAUUUGAUAUUAUUUUAUUGCGUUUAUAUGUGUGUGUUAUUUGUGAAAGAAUUACUAAAACUAAUAAAUUUGGUAUUGAAGGACCAAUUUAUAAAUUGAGGUUUAAUUGAUAGGUUUAAUUGAUAAAUACAAGUGAGAUGUAUAUGCCAAUUAUUGUAUUACAUGCAUAUUAAAAUGUUAAAGGGUCAAAUCUAGAAUUAAGGCCUUAGUGAACUUAGUGAAUGAUUAGAAUGCAAAUGACAUGUCAUUAUGGUCUAAAGUAUCAGGUACUAUGUACUGGUGUUGGAUACCUUACCGAUGAUUGAGAUCCAACAUUUGUUAUGGAUUCUCCAUAGCUUGUGUGAGCAACAUUGAGUAAAGGUUAAUGACCCUAUUUACAAAUCAUGUGAGUAAAGAUAUUUACAAAUCAUGUGAGCAUCUCUAUCCUGAGUAUUCGAGGUUAAUUUAUUAUAGUUCUCUGGGCAAAACUACGUUAUGAAAAUGAAUCAGAAAGAAAUGUCAUAUGAGUAUGAAUGUUGUUCAUGGUUUGAUUAUGGUUAAUAUGUUUAUCAUGUUAUGUAACACCAAUAACCUGUUUCUGUCACCGGAAUAGGGUUAUAGAGUAUUACUAUACAAAUCAGACAUUUUAUAACAAAUAACGUUCAAUUAUCAAAUUAAUUGUAUAAAUACGUAUGUAAUUCAAAAUGGAAUAAAACAUACAUUUACAGGCCUUAAAUCGAGCCUACGAGGUCUUAAAAAUAGUUUAGGAACAAUUAGGGACUAAUUCAAAAUAAAUCAUAAAGUUUAGAGAAAAACUAAAAAUAUUACUUCAGGGGUCACACGGUCGUGUGUCUAGGCCGUGUGACUAACCCACACGCCCUUGUGCUCACCCGUGUAACUUACUAAUUUAGGUCACAUGGCCAUAUUGUAGGCCAUGUGCCAACCCGUGUGAACCCUGCACUAAACACGCUCAAGGCACAUGCUUGUGUGUGACACAUGAUCGUGUGACUGCCUGUGACCCAGGCCGUAUGUGACCAAAAAUGUCUCGAAACAAGCCUAACUUCCAUCCAAUUUCAUAGGUACCUAUAUCAUCUCAUGACACAUGAUUUCCAGUUUCAAACACAUUCAAAACCAACAUAUCAUGCUAAAUCAAUCAACCAUAAACACUAUUCAAUAUCAUGCAAGUCACCCACGUCUCAAGCAACUAGCAAUUCAAUAACUUAACUAGACUUCCAUAGUAUCACAUUUGACCACAUCUAGCUUACAUAUAAGUUAACUUCUUACCAUUUGAUACAUAAAUUCAUACCACAUUAGCUAUUCAUUUCACAAUAUUAUAAGCACCCACAUGCAUAUUACAACCAUACAUACGAACCAUAUCAACCAUGAGCAAAUGGUCCUACUACAUAACAUAAUCACAUUUUCCUAUUACAUGCCAUAUAAGCUGAGUUUGAAAUCAAAAUCUACCAAAAGGAUUUUGGAUAAUGUGAUCUCCUUAAGUUGAUCCGAUUUGCCGACUUCCACAAAACGUAUCUACAAGGAAAGGGCAAAGACACGAGUAAGCUCACGUAAAGCUUAGUAAGUUCGUAAUAAACUUAAACUUUAGCUUACCGUAAAUGAUGAAAUUUUUAACAUUUUACAAGAUAAUUAAAUAUCAUGAUCAUGAGUUUGUUAAUUACUUAUACACAUCAUAAGUCUCACAAGGUCAGUGAGUUCAUAUGUAAAACAUAUAACUUUAUCAUGAUAUCAAACUUAUACAUGAAAAACACAUUUGGCAUAUAAACCAACUAUCAUAUAUGCAUUUGACACUCACAUUCCAUUACAAAUAUCUAUAUCCAAUGUCCUAAUCCAUACAUAUAUUUUCACAUAACCAAUUCACAUAACAAUUUCAUGUAAUCAUUCCUUAUAACCAUGUCGUAUAACUAUAUCUAUAAUCAUUUCAUCUACCGUUUCAUUUUACCAUUUCAUAUAUAACACCUAAUCUUUCUGUACAACACAUUUUGUUUCAAUAAUCCAUAUAAAUUUCUUCAUUCAUUGUUUAAUACCAUAUAACUAUUUCGUAUAUUCUGUUUCAUUUUAUUCAUUUAACACCUGAUGAACCAGAUGAAAUAACGUCGGAUACGCGGGAACCAUGCUCACAAAAAGUGUGCCUAUUAUUGUAAUUAUAAUUGCUCUCACGAGCCAUAUUUUAAAAUGCUUGCACGAGCUGUAAAAUGGGCCUGCUCACACAAAUUGUGGGCCAGGAUGUUAGGCUACACGAUGCUGCUUACAUAAGCUGUGGAGAAUUCGCAACAAAUGCAGGACCUUAGCCAUUUGUAAGACAUCCAUAACUGGCAUUCGAAACUGUAAUAACCCCUAAUGACAUGUCAUUUGUAUCCUAAGUAUUCACGAGGUUCAUACGGGUCAUAAACCAUGUUCAUUUCAAUUAACUUUCCUCAUAUUAUAUCAUUACGAGCACACAUCUAUAUAUUUCUUAUUUAUCAAACAUAACAUUGAUUUAGCUAAUAAUGCAAUUUAGUUCAAUUUACUAAUUACCAUAUAUCAAUCAAUUUAAUUCUUUCGUAGCAUAAAUAUUAACUAACAUAUCAUAUAAUUAUUUAAGCAUUUAUUUGUCACACGAGUUCAACUAUAUCUUUUCUUCAAUUUCAAUCAUGACCCUCAAUUAUAAUUUCAUUUGAAUUUGAUUCAAUUCCAUAAUUUAAUAUUUACUAUGCAAGAAAUUUAAAUACAACAUACUUAAAUAUUUAAUAAUUUACAAAAUAGAAACUGAAUCAAUUACUGAGGACUAAUCAACAAUUUUUCAUUUUCCCCGUUUGUCUAUCGAUUGAUCCAUUUCUUGAUCUAUAUAUAAUAAUCUAAUUCAAACAACUAAAUCAACAGAAAAAUUAAACCAUUUUAUGCAAUUAAGUUCUUUUUGAUAUUUUUAUAAAAUUGCCCCUAAGAUUUCACUUUUAUGCAAUUUAGUCCCUAAGUCCAAAUCAUGCAAUUUACCCAUUUUCAACCAAAUUCAAGCUUAGCCAAAUUAUUUGGGACCCUAUUACAGCCCAUAUUUAUUGUUAUUUCACAUCAAGUCCUCAAAAUUUUAUCACUUUAACAUUUUAAAGUCCUUAAACAUUAAAAUUACCAAAAUUUACUUUACAAAAUAGUCCUAUUUAUCAACCAAGCUUAAUAAUCCGCCAUAAAAAUUCAAGAAUAUCCAAAACUCAUGUAACACCCCUAACCCGUAUCCAACACUAGGACAGGGCUCGAGGCAUUACCUGAACUUUACACUUUCAAUAUACUAACUCGGGUCACAAAAUUUCAUUUGAAUUUAAAACUUUUCAAUCAUGAACAUCUCGUCCCUUGUAUAGGCCUUCGAGACCUAUAACAUAUUGGAAGGCAAUGCGGGACAAAUACGGGCACGUUCGAUUAGCCUUGGGCUCCUUAGAAAUUUUUCCUUAACUAAAAGGGACACACACCCAUGUAGGUGGAUUGUGUGGACUCACACACCCGUGUAUCUUGGGGCACGCCCAUGCCCUUCAACCGUGGGCAACACUGACUUAUCAACACGGCCAUGGAACAUGCCCGUGCUACCUACCCGUGGACGAAACUGUCAUUUUAACACGGCCAUGGUGCACGCCCGUAUGGCCUACCCGUGUACAACUUUGAGCUAAGGUUUUAAGUGCAAGGGACACACGGCCAUAACACACGCCCAUGGGAGGGAAUCGUGUGUCACGCAUGGCCUAGACACAUGCCCGUAUGUUCAACCAUGUAGACUUUAUUAGGCUAUUUUCCAAGCCUUUAGUCACCCCUUUAUACUACUUGUGCCUAAUGGUUACCAAGUUUGAGAAGAAGCAUGAUUAUAUACUUGUAAAUAAUCUUAAUGAAAAUAGUUGUAUGGAAACCUCAUAUCAUUGGUUUCAUACAUAAAUGGUUAUUUCCUAUUUAGUGUCAUGAGUUCCCUUAUUACUUUAAUCCAUCUGAAAUUGGCUCAUUCAUGUGAUUCAUUGCCAAUUGAUAGCAACCCAUCCUUCGUAAUUAAAACCAUGCAUAAAAGCGUAGGUCAUAGCCUACUUAAAUUAAGCCAAUUUUCAUGGCCAUAUACAAAGAGAUAAACAUAUUUUUACAUGCCUUUACUGGGCAAAUCAAAUGACACAUAUAACAAAGUACUCAAAAAUAGUAUAUAUGCCAUUGAACAAAAUAAAUUGAGUCUUUAUACCAAAGCUUGUUUAGUUGAUAGUGUGUUCACUCCCUAAUUGUCUUCCAAUCCUUAUGAGCCCUUGAGCUUUGUGAGACAGGGAAAAAUGGAAGGGUAAGCAUUUUCAUGCUUAGUAAGCUCGAAUAAGUGGAAAGUAAACUUAUCGAGUAAUUAGCAAACAUCCAUACUUAUUUCAUGAAAUCAUCCAUUAUGAAAUGAUUUCCUAUCACAUGCAUUCAAUCAAUGAGUUAGUCAUAUAAUCAUGUAUUAUAUAAUUUAACUAGAUGAGCUCAUCAUUCAACAUUUCAUUCAUACAUGUAUAUCCCAUGUUAAUCUCAUUGAGUUUCUAGGAACCUCGAUGGAAUACCCAAUAUCCAUCAAUUCAUACGAAUGAUUAUUCCAUCUAUGCACUCCCGCUAACCUCACAUCAUAUGGAAGGAUUACCAGUCCAGGCUAAAUCCCCCAUUAUAUGAACUCAUAAGGUGAUGUCGGGAUUACUAGUUCAGGUUAAAUCCCUUAUAGCAACAAACACCCUUAAUGAGCUCAGAUCUGAAUUACCAAUCCAGGCUAAAUUCAGACCCUAAUCGGAUUACCCGUCCGGGUUGAAUCCAUCAUGCACACAUAUUCUUCGGGAGGCUUGAUCAUUCAAGGAACACCCGUCCGGGCUAGAUUCCUUUACCUGAGAUCUCGGAUUACCCGUCCGAGCUAAAUCCUUACUGCAACACAUGCAGGAUCUCAGUUUACCUUUUCAAUGAGGGUUUAUCCAUCGAAUUCCCUUUGUCAACCUCAACCGAGAUAUUUUUCACAUGUUAUCAUCAAUAUGCAUUUCUAUGAUAUUUCAUACCAAUAACAAACACAAUCAUCAAGCAUUCAUAAUUCAUACAAUUAUGCAUAUCAAGGGUUUACUUUAAGUUAUCCGAACUUACCUGGUACUCUUUUCGAAGUUGUGUUUCUGUUAUUUCAAAACCUUGCAUUUACCACGAUUGACCUCCGAAAUUUGUUCCUCGGGGUCUAUAACAGUAAAAUUAAUUCAUUAAUACCCCACAUUAUAUAUUUCAAGUUUAAUACCUGCCCCCGGUCCAAAUGAUCGUUUUGCCCCUAACCUUUCACAUUUUUACGAUUUAGUCUCUAGGCUCGUGUAAUGAAACACAUGCAAUUUCUAUCUUACCCAAGCCUAGCAGAACAUUUUUCUCUGUUAUGGAAACCCACAUUUUUCAUUAUUUUCCUCAUUUCCACCACACAUUUACAUCUUUUGCAAAAUAGUCCCUAUAAGGGUUUCUCAUGAAAACCAACUUGGAAAAGAUGUUUAACACACAUUUAUCUUUCAUAUUCUUCCAUAAUCCAUCAAAAUACCAAUAACUCAUACAUGGGUAAAUUUUUGAACAUGAACCCUAGCGUGAAAUAUGGGUAGAAAUGGAGAGAGCAAACUACUGGGAUUUCAAAAAUACAAAGAACAUGAAAAACAGGGCUUGGGAGCACUUACUAUUGAGCUUGAAAAUUGAAGAAACCCUAGCUAUGGUGUCCUCCAAAUUUCGGCAACCAUGGGAAGAAGAUGAACAUAUUUUUGCUUUAUUUUUCCCUUUUUAUUUCAUUAAAAUGCCUAAUGACCAAAAUGCCCUCAUCCAUGCAAGCCCAUUUUUGUCCAAAAAUUUAGAACUUGGCAAAUUGAUCUCCAAGACCUUCUAAUUCAUAAUCUACAGCAAUUUCAUACAAAUUGCUUCUAAAAUCCAAGUUUUUCAAUUUAUUCAAUUGGACAUCUUAUACUUAGAAUUUCUUCAUGAAACUUUAACACAUGCAUAUACUCAUAUUCUAAGCCUCAUAAUAAUCAUAAAAUAAAUAUUUUGAUGUCAGAUUUGUGGUCCCGAAACCACUAUUCUGACUAGGCCCUAUUUCAAGAUGUUACAACUCAUCAAUGGAAUAAUCCAUAAUCUUUAAUUGUCUUGAAAACAGAGAUACGGGUUAGCUGGACCUAGUUGCAACGAUCUUAAAAAUAUAAAAAUUACAAGAAACCGGUUAAAAUCAGCUUACCAAAUUGAAAGACAAGCCUGGAAGAAGUUUCCCAAGCCUUAACAGUGGUGUUUCGGCCUUUCUCCCCACAAAUAAGAACAGAAAAUGUUGAUUUAAUCGUUUAAUUUCUUUAGUUUAACUUACCUUUUAACUUUUUUACUAAAUUACCCUUUGAGUGUAACUUGUAAAAGUCAAGUCCAUAAACGUUCUUAACAUAAGUAUAUGGUAUAGUUACCAUUUAAGGAGGGUUUUCAAUUAUUUUAAACUUUUAACUAAACAAGCUUAAUUUUAAUUUAACCCUAAACUAAUUAGGACUAAAUGAGAAAAUAGCCCAAAAGUUAGUGGAUUUAAUCAUGUCACCACCACUUGGACUUUUUGACCAUGGUUUAAUCACCAUUUUGGUUCUUUUAGUAUUUUAAAUCUAUAGCGAUUAACUUUUACCUCUUUUACAAUUUAAUCCUUUUACAUUAAUUAAGUAAUUAAUCGUAAAAAUUAUCGGACCAAACUUUAAUUUACCUAUAAUACGACUCUGUAAAUAUUUUAAUAUUUACAACCUUAAAUUACAAAAAUGAAGCCCCAAUACCUCAUUUUCAACAACCACUUGACUUUUGGACUAAAUCACUUAUACUAACCUUUAAUUCAAUUAAUUAAAAUUCAUCAAAUAGAAAUUUGAUAUAAAAUUUUUAUUGACUCGUAUAAUUUAAAUAUUAAUUAUACGAACUUACUCGUCGAAUUUGUGGUCCCGAAACCACUAUUUCUGACACCAAUGAAAAACGGGUUGUUAUAUGUUACUUGUGUACAUGCUAAGCUUAUUAUGUGAUAAUGUACUAACCAAUAUGGUUAUGGCAUGAAUUAUGUAAGGUGACAAAGAAUACCAAGUUUUUAUGUUAUUUUCAAUUAUUGAGUUAUGAAAUGUCAAGUAUGUUGUGUUAAAUUUCAUACAAACUUACUAAGUUUUGAGUAAGCUUACCUUUGUUUUGUUUUUCUUCCUUGUGGAUUGUCGAAAAUUGGGCAUUCAGUUGGAUCAAGACAGAGCUCACACUAUCCACAAAUCCCUUUAGUAGACUUUUGAACAUUUUUGACCCGGUUAUAUGUGGCAUGUAAAUAGGUGUAAAUGGUUUAUUUAUGUAUGUAUGUUUGUAUGUAUGUACGUAUGUAAGUAUAGAUGUAUGUAUGUAUGUAUGAAUAAACUUGUGUUUGGUUGUUCUUACUAUAAAUAUAUGUGUAAUGUAUAAAAUGUUGGUGAUGGUUUGAGACUUUUCAUUUGGUCACCAUAUGUGUUGAAUGUUAAAAUGGUUAUUUGAUGCUCAAACGGUUGAAUUGAAUGACAUUUUGGUAUUUGGAUUGUACAAGGUUCCUAAAUGCAUGUUUGGUAUGUUAUAAAUAUAGAAUGAGGAUAAAUAUUGAGUGUGAAUUUGGUACUAAACUUAUGUAUGAUUAGUUUUGGUAACAUGGUUAUUCAUAGGUGGCCUAACUUAGUGUUUUGAUUGCUUAUAGUGAACCUAUAUGGUCAUGGUUUAAAUUUGGCAUGAAAUGGGAUUAAUGAUUUGAUUUGAAUAUUGUUGUGAAAUGGUGCCAUUGAGGCAUAUUGGUUAGUUGCUUAAGAAAAUGGUUUAGGUUUGUUUUGGCAUGUUUUGAAUAGGUGAAUAUUGGACAUUAGCAUUGAUAUAGGUUUUCACAUGGUUGAGAUGGUUACUUGUUUGAAAAGAUGCAUUUUUGCUACACAUGGUCUAGCACACGAUUGUGUGUCUCCACACGGGCUGGUGACAUGCCUGUGUGAUCACUAAGGUAAGUUAUCGUGUAGUCCACAUGGUUCCUGAAUGUCACACAGGUUGGCCACACGCCCGUGUAAACAUUGUUGUUUUAGACAUCAAAUUUUCACACGGUUACAGUAAGAUACAUAGUCCAGCUAUAUGGCUGUGUAAUUUCCUAGUGAUUUUAUCCAUUUAGGUCUACAUGGCUUCAGUGAGUUACACGGUUGUGUAGAAUGAAGGAAAUGUGCAAGUGUACUCAAUCGCAAUAAGUAAAAAAGUGACAAGUAAAAUGUCGAGUUAUUGUGCCCACAGGGACUGUAUAAGAAAUUAUUUAUGAAUGCAAUUAAAAACACUUUGGUGAAGAAAAAUAUUUUGAUUUUGAGGAAGUGAUUAAAACUAAAAUUUAACUAAGUAAAAUAAAUAAAAUAAAAAUAAAAAUUCCAACGCACGAUUUCAAAAGAUAAUUUUAAUCAAGAUGAAUAAUUGUGUUAGAUUAAUUACAUUUCUUAACUUAGAAUUACUAAACUCAUAUUCAUGUUGUUACGAAUUAAUUCACGGCAACUUGGUAAUCCGCUAACUACUACUCAUAUGUACCUAUUAAAUUAACUAAUCUCUUGAACAGUUUCCAAUGCCAAUUCAAAAAAUUAAUCAAUCUUCAUAAACACGUAAAAGAUUAAGUGAUGUAACAAUGUAUUCCUACCUUGAAACAGUUUAAUCACAAUAAUCUUACAAGUUAAACAAGGCUAAUGUAUCGUCUAAUACCAUCGCUAAUUUAACCCUCAGUUACCUUAGAAGAUUAAACAUGCACUGAUUAAGUAUUGUGUCAAUUAAUUACAAUUUCAACACGUUUAAAUAAUUAAUUCAUUAGUUACCUUACAAUUAUAAUGCAAGAAUAACUUAAUCAUGAUCUUACUUAAUCAAACAACUUAGUAAGGGUUAUAACAACACAAACAUAAUUUUAAUAACUUAAGUGGACGAAAUGCAAUCAACCUGUGGAUGAAAUGCAACCAACCUAACACGAAUUAGGUCAUCUUGUUUAAAAUCAUCUUUUGAAAUCGUGCAUUAGAAUUUUUAUUUUUAUUUUAUUUAUUUUAAUUAGUUAAAUUUUAGUUUUAAUCACUUCCUCAAAAUCAAAAUAUUUUUCUUCACCAAAGUGUUUAUAAUUUCAUUCAUAAAUAAUUUCUUACACAGUCCCUGUGGGUACAAUAACUUGACAUUUACUUAUCACUUUAUUACUUGUUGUGAUUGUGUACACUUGCACAUUUCCAUCAUUCCAAGUUUUCGGCGCUGUUGCCGGAGACUGUUUUAAAAGUCAUUAUUUGUGAAUUUGUUAAUUUCACAUUUUGAUUUAUUUUUCUAUUCAAUUUUAACUUAAAUAUUUUUUCUGUGUUUGUUUUAGGUGUUUAUGAGUAUUGAUCGAAUCAUCGAUUUACUCAUCAUAGAACCUAAGAUUGAAAGAACUUUUCGACAACGAAAAAGACAAGCAAGUCAGAAAAAGACCGAAGAGAUGAACUACGAAAAUUUGAAUCAAGGAAACGGAGCAAAUCCUGCUCAAAAUCCUAUCCUUAUUGUUGAUGAUAGGUUAGAACUCUAAGACAGUAUGUCGUACCAGUAUUUCAUGAUCUUAAUCCAAGUAUAAGGAGACUCGAAAUCAAGGUACAACAAUUAGAACUGAAGCCAGUCAUAUUCUAGAUGCUUCAGACAUUGGGCCAAUUCAGUGGAAUUCCUACCGAAGAUCCUCACAUUCACUUAAGAUUUUUAUAGAGGUGACUGAUUCUUCCAAGUUAGCUGGAGUACUCGAAGAUGCACUACAAUUAAAGUUAUUUCAAUAUAGAGCUCGAGCCUAGUUGAACUCAUUGCCACAAAAUUCCAUUUCCGCAUGGCAAGAGUUAGUAGAAAGAUUCCUCAUGAAGUAUUUCUUGCCUAGCAAGAAUGCUAAAUUGAGGAACGAGAUCAUUGUUUUCCCACAAAUGGAUGACGAGCCCUUGUAUGAGGCAUGGGAAAGGUACAAAGAAUUAUUACGAAAAUGCCCCCAUCACGGAAUCCCUCAUUGUAUCCAACUUAAGAUGUUUUAUAAUGGUCUCAAUGCUCACAUGAGGAUGGUAGUUGACGCUUUUAAUAAUGGUGCUCUCAUUUCUAAGUCUUAUAAUGAGGCUUAUGAAAUCAUUGAGAGAAUUGCCAGCAAAAAUUAUCAAUUACUCACCAAUUUAGCAGCGUCAGGAAGACGAGUCAUUGGAGUACAUAAAGUGGAUGCUCUCGCUUCACUCGUAUCCUAGGUAUCUUCAAUUUUCUCAAUGCUUAAAUUUUUUACCAUUAAUGGGUUUAAUAGUUUUGCAGCUCAGCGACCCAAUCAAUUUGAAAAUACAACCUGUGUUUAUUAUGGGGAAGGACAUUUGUGCAAAGAAUGUCCAUCAAACCUAGAAUCUGUGUAUUUCAUGGGUAAUCAGAACCAGAAUCGAGGAAGGCAAUAACUGCAAUCCAAUUUUUAUAAUCCAUCUUGGUGAAACCACCCUAAUUUCUCUUGGAGUAACCAAGAGGCUGGACCUAAUAACACUUAUACCUAAACUAAACUGACCUAGCCACCUAUUUUUACCCAACAAGUUUAGAAUCAACCUCAAGCUAAAUCUUCUAAUGGCUUAGAAAACUUGUUAAAGGAACACAUAGCCCAAAAAUAAUGCCUUAAUCCAAAGCCAAGCAGCCACAUUGAAAAACCUAGAAAACCAAAUGGGCUAGCUUGCCAUUGAACCCAAAAACCAUCUACAAGGUGAUUUGCUUAGUGAUACGGAAAAUCCAAGAAAUCUGAGGAAAGAGCAUUGUAAAGUAUUGACAUUGAGGAGCAGAAAGACAUUAAAGCCCAACACUGUCGAGGUUGAAGAAGAGCCAACUGAUGCUCAAGACUCAGUCGAAGUUCGACUGAGUGUUGAAAUUUUAGUUUCACCGAAACCAGAAUCUGCAAAAUCCAAUAAGGUAACUUCUUUAGAUGCAGAAUUGCCACAGAAGACAAAUCAACCAGUUCCAGUAAAGAAGCCUCCACCACCCUACCUUCAAAGGCUUCAAAAGUAGAAACAGGAAGUCCAAUUCAAGAAUUUUCUAGACAUACUUAAACAACUUCAUAUCAACAUUCCAUAGGUAGAAGCACUUGAACAAAUGCAGAGUUACGUCUCUUGUCCAAGAAACGAAUACUAGGAGAAUUCGAGACGGUAGCCUUAACGAAGUGCAUAUAUUCAAGACAAACUACCACCGAAGUUGAAGGAUCCUGGAUGUUUUACCAUACCUUGCAACAUUGGAGCAACGUAUUGUGGUAAGGCACUAUGUGAUUUAGGUGCAAACAUUAACUUGAUGCCCAUGUCCAUAUUUAGAAAAUUGGGGAUAUGUGAAGUUAGACCUACCACGGUUACACUUCAAUUGCACAUCGAUCUUUAACACAUCCAGAAGGAAAAAUCGAGGAUGUAUUGGUAUGUGUAGAAAAAUUUAUUUUCCCUGCUAAAUUUGUUAUUUUAAACUUUGAAGUAUAUAAAAAGGUGCAAGUCAUCCUAGGAAGGCCUUUCCUAGCAACUAGAAGGACCCUUAUCGAUGGGUAGAAGGGUGAGCUUAUUAUGCGUGUUCAAGACGAUCAAGUAACAUUUAAUGUUUUAAAGUCUAUGCGAUUUACUGACACAGUUGAUGAUUAUUUUGCAGUGUUUGAUUUAGAGGAAUUAAUCAUGGAAAAGGAACUCAACUAUGUUGAGGACCCGUUAGAGCAAAUUUUGACAUCAGACCCUCCAAGUGAUGAAGAGGGAGAGGAAUACUUAGCUUUGUUAGAAGCUAAUCAAAGGGGAUUUAACCUGCAAUCCUGGUUUGAGUCUUUAGAGUUAAAGAAUAGGGAUUAUGCCCAACCAAAAGUGUCAAUUGAGGAGCCACCUAAAUUAGAACUUAACGUACUUCCUUCAUAUUUAAAAUAUAUUUAUUUAGGUAACGCUUGUAUUUUGCCUGUGAUUAUUUCAGCAGAAUUGAUCGAAGAGCAAGAAGAGAAACUCAUCCUAGUGUUGAAACAAUUCAAGAAGGCUAUCGGAUGGACCAUAGCCAAUAUCCUGGCAUUAGUCCGUCUGUAUGCAUGCACAAGAUCAUCUUAGAAGAUGGCGAGAAUGGGACAAUUGAUAGACAAUGAAGAAUGAACCCCAUCAUGAAAGAUGUAGUAAAAAAAGAAAUCAUUAAAUGGUUAGAUGCGGGUAUAAUUUACCCUAUCUUAAACAAUUUGUGGGCAAGUCCAGUCUAGUGCAUGCCAAAUAAAGGAGGUAUUACUGUCGUUGAGAAUGAGAAUAAUGAAUUAAUACCGAUUAGAACGGUUAUGGGAUGGAAAAUUUGUAUCGAUUGCCGAAAGCUGAACAAAACGACUAGGAAAGAUCACUUUCCUUUACCGUUCUUGGAUCAGAUACUGGAUAGACUCGCAGGGCAAGACAAUUACUAUUUUCUCGAUGGAUACUCGAGGUAUAAUCAAAUUACAGUAGCACUAGAAGAUCAAUACAAAACAACAUUCACAUGCCCGUAUGGUACAUUUGCAUUUAGACCCAUGUCAUUUGGUUUAUGUAAUGCACCUGCUACAUUUCAAAUAUGUAUGAUGUCUAUUUUCACUGACAUGGUUGAGAAGUACUUGGAAGUCUUUAUGGAUGAUUUUUCAGUAUUUGGAGAUACAUAUGAUGAUUUCCUAGCCAAUCUAUCAAAGGUACUAAAGCGAUACGAAGAAACAAACUCCGUACCUAACUAGGAAAAGUGUCAUUUCAUGGUAUGGGAAGGUAUUGUUCUAGGGCAUCAAAUAACGAGACAUGGAAAGGGUGUUAGGAGCUUUUUGGGCCACAUCGGUUUCUAUCAGAGAUUUAUCAAGGACUUCUCCAAAAUUGCUAAACCCUUAUGCAAAUUAUUGGAAAAGGACAUAAUGUUCAAAUUUGAUAAGGAAUGCUUAAGAGCUUUCAAUGAUUUGAAAAGUUGGUUAGUUUCAACACCCAUCAUUGUCACACCGGACUAGGAUUUGCCUUUUGAACUGAUGUGUGAUGCAAGUGACUUUGUAAUAGGAGCUAUCAUAGGCCAGUGAAGGAACAAAGUUUUUCAUCCCAUCUAUUAUGCAAGUCAGACUCUGACAGGAGCACAAUUGAAUCAUACGGUAAUAGAGAAAGAGUUACUUGCUAUUAUAUUUGCCUUUGACAAGUUUUGAUCUUAUCUUGUAGGUACAAAAGUGACUGUUUACACAGACCGUUUGACAAUUAAGUAUUUACUUGCCAAGAAAGACACCAAGUCGAGAUUGAUCCUAUGGGUACUUUUACUCAAAGAGUUUGAUCUAGAAAUUCAAGGUCAAAAAGGGGUAAAAAAUUAAGUAGCAGACCAGUUGUCCAGAUUGGAGCUACAAGAAGGGAAUUCUCCACCUAUACCCAUCCAGGAGACAUUCCCAAAUUUACACAUACUAAAGGUAAAUCAUGUCCAUAAUACCCUUUGGUUUGUUGAUAUUGCUAACUAUUUAGCUUGUGGUAAAAAAUUAUUUCACGAUGUAAAAUACUAUUUUUUGGGAAGAACCAUAUUUUUUAAAAAAGUGUGCAAAUCAAAUGAUCAGAAGAUGCUUGGCAGAAGAUGAAGUACAUAAGAUUCUAUAUCAUUGCCACAUGACUCCGAGUGGAGGACACUUAGAGGUACACGUACUGCAGCCAAAGUAUUGCAAACCAGAUUGUUUUGGCCAAUGCUAUUCAAAGACGCGUAUGCAUAUGUAAAGAGUUGUGAUCAAUUCCAAAGGGUUAGAAGUGUCACCAACAGAAAUAAAAUGCCCCGAACAAACAUCAUUGAGGUAUAAUUGUUUGAUGUUUGGGGUAUUGACUUCCUUGGUCCUUUCCCUUCGUCUUUUGGUCAAAAAUACAUAUUGGUAGCAAUAGACUACAUGUCUAAAUGGGUUGAAACAGAGGUAUAUCCAACAAAUGAUGCUAAGGUUGUGAUGAAGUUUUUGUAGAAGCAUGUGUUCAUAAGGUUUGGAACCCCGAGAGCUAUCAUCAAUGGUGAAGGGUCCUAUUUUGUAAACUGGUUACUCGACAAACGUGGAGUGAAGCACAAGGUUGCCACAGCUUACCAUCUGCAGACAAAUGGGCAAGCUAAACUGGCAAACAAAUAGAUAAAAGGCAUACUAGAGAAGAUAGUUUUCCCGAACCAAUGAGAUUGGUCCAAAAGACUGGAGACUGGAUGAUGCUUUUGGGGCCUACAGGACAGCAUACAAGACAUCUUUAGGGAUGUCACCCUAUAGGUUGGUUUUUGGGAAAGCCUAUCAGCUGCCCUUGGAGUUAGAACACAAAGCUUACAAGGCUCUCCAACAACUCAACUUGGAUCUUAAGCUUGCUAAAGAGAAACGAAUGCUUCAACUUAACAAGUUAGAAGAAUUUGGAAUAUUCUCAUACGAGAAUGCCAAACUAUUCAAGGAAAGACUUAAAAGAUGGCAUGACAAGCACAUUCGAGUUGGAGAAUUUGAAGUAGAUCAGUAAGUCUUGUUAUUCAAUUCUAGAUUAAGGUUCUUUCCAGUUAAGUUAAAAUCAUGUUGGUCUGAUCCAUUUACGAUUCACUAAGUUUUUCCAUAUGGAGUUGUCGAACUUCAAGGUAAGGGAGGUAAUUUUCGAGUCAACGCUCAGCGAUUAAAACAUUAUUGUGAGGAAAAAAUUGAACGGGAUACAAUCUUGUUCAUUUUAUUAGUAUUUAAUUUUUAUCAUUUUUCAUUUUAAAUAAAUGAUUUAGGGUAUACUUUCGGGAUUAGUAUGUUUAAAAGAAUUCUGUCUAGAAGAUUGGAACUUAAGCGGGACCGUUUAUGACCCCUUCAAUCUUUCCUAGAAAUUUAUUUUAACAUAAUCUUUCUAGAAAUUAUCCCCUAAAUGACAAAUAAAUUUUUAGUUUUUCAACUAAAAUGGUCAAUUUUGAUCCAAGUCUUAAUUGCAACUCAAUUUUCAAAUUUUCUUUAAGACUAGGUACUUAAUUGAACUAUUUUCAAAUUUUGGUUGCUCUUUUUAGAAAUAUUAAAAAUUAGAUGUCUCUUUUUAUAAAUAUUUUCAAAGGCAUCUAGAAUAAAUGUUUUUAAUGUAAUUUAAUAAAUAAGAUAAUAAUAACUAGUACUAAUUAUAUUUAUUGUAAUAUAUAUUAAUUAUUAUUAACUUUAUAUAGAAUUAGGAUUAGUUUAAAUUUGAUCAUAUUUUAAUUAAUAGUUUUUAUUUUAAUAAAUUAAUAGCAAAUUAUAAUUUAAUAUGCAUUAUAUUAAUUAUUAAUUGUUAUUAACUUUGUGUAGAAUUAGAACUUAGAAUAUUUUAAUUAUUAAAUUGUUCUAAGAAUUCUAAUUGAACUCCUACCCUCUUCACUAUAAAUUCCACCAACCUUCUCCAUCAUUCACCAUCCAUCAAACCAACCUCCAUUCACUUGUUCCAUCAUCGACCCUAGCAUCCAAAAAUCACCAAGUGCUGCAGCUCCUAACCACUAGCAGUAGCACUACUCAACAGCCCUAUUCGCCCAGUAGCUCAAAACACACGUUGCUACAGCCGCACAAACCAAGCCUACUCCCAGCUAUAGCUCACGUCCGCCAACGCACCAGCCCUGCUGCUCACCUGACAUUGCUGCAUGCUACCCACGCAUAUGCUCUCACCAAGGCUGUGCACUGUUGCCAUUUUUUCCUUGUGCCGUGUGCACCCUUACACAACUCAAACACCCUUGUCAAAUUUGCACAACACUUCCACCACAUUUAGUCGAUAACCCUUCAAACCAUCCCUCAAUUAAAUUCUUUUCUUCUAAUUCUAUUUAUUGAGUUCUUAAUUUCUAUAUAAAGGUGGUAAGACAAAAUUUUCUCCUAAAUUUCAAUUUUAUUUAAUUUUUUAAUUUAUUUAAUUAUUAAUAUUUUAUACUAACUAAAUUUUUGAGAAAAUAUUUGUUUUCAUCUUAUGUUUAGGUUAAUCAUGCCUUGCAAGAAAACUUGUGCCUCUAUCCAAAUUGACAAAUCCUAAAACUAAUUUCACUGUGAAGAAUCCAAAGCAAGAUACGAAAGCGUCUUCAAAAAUCAACAAAUGCACCCAGAAAAAGGCUUUAGACUGAAAGAAAGCAACUAUAUUGAUUUCAUGGCGCACAUUCGAAAAAUUGCUAAGGCUCUCAAUUGGGAGUUGUUUUGUGAGAAGAGACCGAGUGUAGACGAGGAGUCAGUUUUUAAAUUUUAUGCGAAUUUAACCUCAAACGAAUUAAUGGAAGUUUCUGUCCGAGUAAUCAAGGUACCAAUAACCUUAAAUGCUAUUAAUGGAUUCUUUGAAUUACUUAAUUUUUAAGACGACAAAUAUUAUUCCUUGAUGAGAAAUAUGGAGGCUAAAAAUCUGCAAUAAAUUCUUAAGGAACUUACAGUUCCAGGUUCUAAGUGGACUAUGUCAAAGCAAGGAAUUCACACUUGUCGCAGAGAAUAUUUGACACCACUAGCGAAUGUAUGGUUCUAUUUCAUUCGAUUAAGUUUUAUGCCUAUUUCACAUAGGACUACAAUUUCAUUAAACCAAAUGGUCUUGUUAUACUCAAUUUUAACUGCAAAGGCCAUUGAUGUGGGAAAAAUCAUUUUGAGAGAAAUGCGAAAUUGUGCCACUAGACGUUCUGACCCAACUUACUUUCACUUAACGAUAACAAUUUUUUGCUUGAAAGAUAAAAUUCUUGCAAACGUAAAGAAGGCAAGUUAUAGCCAGGACACAAUCACAGAUUGGGACCUCUACCGAAUAGCUGGAGACUCUAUUCUCUAGCAAUGAGUUGAAGAGAGCAAAUAUCCCUAGUAAGAAGAAAAAAAGAUCCUACAGAGAUCAAACCAAUGCAGUCAGCUGAUGUAACAACCUAUUUUUCAGUGAGAUCGUAAUAAUAAUUUCAGGACCACAAAUUCGAGCUGAAAAAUAAAAUUUAUUUUUAUUUUAAUAUGUGAUCCAAAUUAUGAUAGACAUGUCAUGUGAAAAUUUUGAUAAGAAAAUUUUAUCGAUUAUGUGUUUAAUUACGAGAAGGACCAAAUUGUAUAAAAUGUAAAAGUUGAAUUCUAGUAACUAUAAGGAUUAAAUAGCUAUGAAAUUCAAAACUUGAGGUCCUUAUAUGGUAAUUAGACCAUUAAAGAAAGUAUAUAGAUAUUUUGGUGACUCAUCCAUGUAAAUUUAGAAAAAGGGCAAGGACUAAAUUGGACAGUGAAAAUGUUUAAUUAAUUAAAAGUUGAUAAAAGAAAUAUUAUUUUAUUUUAUCAUCUUCUUCCCCAAAAAUACAUGAAAACCCUAGGAGAGAGAGAAAAAACUUUCAUGCCAAAUUGGGUAAGUUUCCUUGGCCCAUUUUUAGUAAUUUUGAUAUUUUUGAAACCGGGAUAGCUUAAUCUAUCUAUUUAAGGGAUCAAUUUGAGAAGUUAUCAAAGUAUGGAAAAUGGGUCAUGGAGUAUAUGCUGAAAAUUAGAAAUUUAUGGUAGAAAAUGAAAGGUCGUUGAUAGAUAAAUAACUUUUACAAAGUGAUUUUUGAUGAAAACAUGAUUUAGGGACUAAAAUGUAAAGUUGUGAAAUUGAAGAAAAAUAUUAAAUUUUUAUGAAUACAUGUGCUGUAAAUUUUGUAAUAGGAUUUUGGUUAGGCAUGGAAUAAGGAGUAAAUUGCACAAAUUUUAUUUUCCGAGCCUAGGGACAAAAUGGAAAUUUAUGGAAAAGUUAGGGGCAAAAUGGUAAUUUGCCUAGGAUAAAAAUUGAGUCCACUUGAAUAUAAAAUAUGAUAAAUUGAUGUUAAAUUUACUCGCAUAGAUCUAGAUAGACCAAAUGCGAAGCUAGAACGAGGAAAUGAGGAAAAUGUCGGAUUAGUAGAUUUAUGUACACGAACAUUUGUCGAGGUAAGUUCGUAUUACUAAAUUGUAUAUGUUUUUAUACUUGAAUUAAAUGUUGUGUUGUGAAUUUUAUAAAUGUCAUAAGUAUGUGAAAUGAUUACAUACUUGUUAAAGCCCGAUAAAUGAAAGUGCCCGAUCAAUUAUAAUGCCUGACAAAUUGUAAAUGAUAGAAAUGUUAAUUUUAUGCUUGAGUUGAAUGUGAACAUUUUAAUUGCAUAAAUGCAUAAAUAUAUGAGAUUGAUCACAUGCUAGAUGUUAAAUUCCGUAUGCAAAUGUUACUUAUAUGCUUGAAAUGAAUGUAGAAUGUGUUUAUUUGAAUUAUAUAAAUGUUAUGGAUGUAUGGAAUAAUCACAUGCUCGAUAAUGCUUGAGAAAAAUGUUUAAAUCCUGGUUGAAUAAAUGGAAAAUUUGAUGCAUAUGUGAUUUCUCAAAAUGAAUGAGGUCUUGCAGUUGUUGUGGACGGGAUUUAGCCAGGACAGAUAAUCUUAAUAUGAGUCAUCUCGAGCAUAUGUUAUGGAUUGGAUUUAGCCUGGACAGGUAAUCCAGAUCAAGCUCUUUAGAGCAUAUGUCAUAAAAAGGAUUUAGCCUGGACUUGUAAUCCUGUAAUAUACAAGUGUGGAUCAAGAGGCUACUCUCUGAUAUAGUACCCUAUGGGUACCAUUGGACAUGAAUUGACAGAUUCUAAUUCAUACACCUCGAGUGUACUACCUGCGUAUCCAUCGAUAUUUUAGAUAAAUUCAACGGGUAAAAGUUUUUGACAUGAGAAUAUAUGAAUAAGAAAUGAUUUAUUACACAUAUCGGCCUGAAAUACAUGAAAAUGACGAUACACGAUAAUUGAUAUAUGGAAAUAUGAAAUGAUGAUAUUGUACAUGGAAUUUAUUUGAUGAGUAUGUACAUCCUUGGUUCUAGACUCGUACACCUUGAGUGUACUAAUUGUGACCUUGAUAUUUCGAGUAAUAGGGGUAAAGUUCUGAUAUGAAAUUAUCUGAACUCAAGAUGAACUAUUAUGAAAUUGUACUUGUAAUAUAAAGAGAUGAUUUAUACAUGUUAAAUGAAUACAUGUUGUGGAAAGUAUAUUUGUAUCAAAACUUGAUUGUUGUUGAGCCUAUAUAUGUUUGUGAUGUUAUUAUGGAUUAUAUGACUAACAAGGGUAAUGAGGAUAUGUGUAAGGCUUGAGGGCAAAUUAAUUGAAUAAGCCUUACAUAGUUACCUCAAAAUAGAAUGAAUCGGAUGUUAUUAUGGAUUAUAUGCUUAUUUAGUUUUAUUUCCUUAUUUUAUAGUGAAUAGGAAGCUCAUUGGAUUGGAAGCUUGGUGGAGAUCACUCACACUAUCCAUUGGCCCAUGUUGGUACAAUAUGGUAAAUCAAUUAUCAUUGUAAUGGCAUGUAUAGGAUAUAUUGGCCAUAUUUUCAUGUAAAUGUAAAUAAUGUUUGCAAUCUAGCCAUUGGAAUGACUAGUAAGGGUUUGUUUUGAUAUAUUUGUAAUGUCAUACCAUGGUAACUACAUGUGUGUUAUGUAGUUGAUCUAUUAUGUCUAACAUAUGGGCUAGACUAAGGCAAGAUUAUGAUUAGGUAUGCAUGUAAUGGUAUGCCAUGUUGAAUGAUAGAGUUUGCUUAACUUGAAUGCUUGAAAUGGUUGGUUUUAGGAUGUGAGUUUAAGUGCAGGUCAUUGGUGUGAUUUUGGGUGAGAAAUGGAGCUAAAAAUGGCUUUAUUUUGUCCACACGGGCAGACACACAGGUUUGUGUCUAGACCGUGUGUGACACACAGCUUGGUACAUGGGCGUGUGGUCCGGCCGUGUGUCCCCUGUAACUUAAAAAAAUGAGAAACAGAAUGCUCAAAAUUGGGCACACAGGCAGAGACACGGGCGUGUGUCUCAGCCGUGUGGUUAACAUGGCCUUAAACACGGGUGUGUUACACUGCCGUGUGAAAACUGCACCUAAAAUUUGAAAAUAAAAUUCACCACACGGCCUAGCACACGAGCGUGUGACUUGGCCGUAUGACUUCAACUUAUUCAUGCUUUAAAAGUCAUAGAGUUAAAUGGGUUAGAGACACGGGCGUCUAUAGUACACGGUCCAACCACAAGGGCGUGUCCCUAGACCACACGGACAUGUGAGUCCUGCAACCUUGGAAAAUUUUUGCAGUGUCGCAAAAAAAUUUAUGAGUAUCCGAUUAAGUCUCAACUUGAUUCUAAUGCUCGUAUUGGGCCUCGAGGGUCCAAUUAAGGGAUGUUUUGAAUGAUCUCGGUAAUUGAUUAGCACUUUAUGUAAAUAAAUUGUAAAGUGUUCUGAAUAUUUCGGUAAUGCUCUAAAACCCUGUUUCGACAACGAAUACGAGUUAGGGGUGUUAUAGGUGAGAUCCCUGAUAAGGCAGAACCAAUAGAACCAGUAACCGAACCUGACAUGACAACCUCAAUGUCCAGAAAUCAAUUUGUAAUAGCACAUUUUUUAGUGAAAUCAGAACAGUGGUUUCGAGACCACAAAUUCGAUCUGAAAAUAAAGUUUAGUUUUAUUUUAUAAUAUGGUCCAUAUAUUGAUAGACAUGUCGUGUGAAUAUUUUGAUACGAAAAUUUUAUCGAUUAAGUUCUUAAUUACGAGAAGGACUAAAUCGCAUAAAAUACAAAAGUUGAAUUCUAGUUGCUAUAAGGAUUAAAUAGCUAUGGAAUUCAAAUCUAGAGGUCCUUAUGUGGUAAUUAGACAACUAAAGAAAAGUACAUAGAUUUUUGGUGACUCAUCCAUGAAAAAAUUAGAAAAGAGUAGAGACUAAAUUGGAAAUUAAAAUAAAUAAUUAAUUAAAAGAUGAUAAAAAGAAAAUAUCAUCUUAUUUUGUCAUUUUCAACCCUAAAAUUAUAUGGAAACCCUAUGAGAGAGAGAAGAAACUUUCAAGGAUUAAUUGGACAAGUUUCUUGUCCUGUUUUUAGUAAUUUUGACAUUUUUAAAACCGAGAUAGUUUAAUCUAUCUAUUUAGGGGAUUAAUUUGAAAAGUUAUCCAGGUAUGAAAUUUGGGUCAUGGAUGUAUAUGCUGAAAAUUAGAAAUUAUGGUAGAAAAUGAAAGGUUGUUGAUAGAUAAACAACUUUUUCAAAGUUAUUUUUGAUGAAAACAUGAUUUAGGGACUAAAAUGUAAACUUGUGAAAUUGAAGAAAAAUUCUAAAUUUUUAUGAAUACAUGUGCUGUAAAUUUUGUAAUGGGAUUUUGGUAAGGCUUGGAAUAGGGAUUAAAUUGCACAAGUUUCAUUUUUCGAGCCUAGGAACGAAAUUAGAAUUUAUGAAAAAGUUAGGGGCAAAAUGGUAAUUUUACCUAGGAUAAAAAUUGAGUCCAAAUAAAUAUGAAAUAUGUGAAAUUGAUGAUUAAAGCUAUUUAUAUAGAUUCGGACAACACAAAUUUGGGGUUAGACUGAGGAAAAGAAAAGGUUUCAGGUUAGUAGAUUUUAUACGCGAACAAGUGUUGAGGUAAGUUCGUGUAACUUAAUCGGGCAUGUAAAUAUGAUUAAUUGAAUGUUUUGUUGUAUGGAAUGUAACUUAUAUUGAUGUACAUUACUUGAAUGCUAUAAUGAGAAAUUUAAUACGUGCUUGAUAUGGUAAAAAAGGGUUAAGUCUCGAUUGAAUAUUGAAUUCAGAUGAAUAUAUGUGCUUUCCCGAAAUGAAUAAGGUCUUGCAUUUGUUGUGAACAGGAUUUAGCUCAGACGAGUAAUCCUAUUGACCUUUUUAUAUAAAGGAUUUAGCCCAGACGGGUAAUCCUGAUAUAAUACCUCUAGAGUGUACAUUACGAUUAGGGUUUAGCCUGGACUAGUAAUCCUAAUUGAGCUUUUCUAAGCAUAUGUUAUAUAAAGGAUUUAGCUUUGACUGGUACUCCUAUUAUACGAAAUGUGGCUCAAGAGUGUGUUCCUUGACUAAGUGCCCUAAUGGGUACCCUCAAAUAAGAAUUGAUGGAUUAUGGAACCGUACACCUCAAGUUUACUACUUGAGCAUUCAUCGAAAUUCCAAUGAUUCAACGGAUACAACUCUUGACAUGGUAUGAGAAUUUUGAGAUGAAAUGAGAAUGACUUGAGAAUUUUGACAUGGUAAGUUUACUUUUCGUUAUAUGAACUUACUAAGCAUGUAAUGCUUACUCCAUUUUACUUUUUCUUGUUUUAUAGUGCACGGAAGCUCGCGAAAGUUGGAAGAUCAUUGGAGCAUCAUCACACUAUCAUCUAGCUUAUUUUGGGUAUACUUAGUAAAAUCAUUUUGGUAUAAUGGCAUGUAUAGGACAACUUUUGACCAUUAGUGGCUUGAUAAUGAUGCUUGUAAUCUAGCCAUUGGAAUGGCUAGUAAUGGUUGUUUUGAUAUACUUGUAAUGUCAUGUUAUGGCAGCUAAAUAUAUAUUAACUAGUUGAUCAAAUUAUGUCUAAUAUAUGGAUUGAAACAAGGUAAGAUUGUGAGCAUGUAUGCAUGUAAUGGUAUGCCGUGAUGAAUGGUGGAUAUUGCUUAAUUUGAAUGCUUGAAACGAUUAGUAUUGGAUGUGUGUUUCAAGUGCAGGUCUUGGGUGAAAUUUUUGGUGAGAAAUGCAGCUAAAAAUUGCUUCAUUUUGUCCACACGGGCGUGUGUCUAGACCGUGUGUGACACACGGCCUGGUAACAUGGGCAUGUAGUUAGGCCGUGUGUCCCCUGCACCUUAAUUUUGAGAAACAGAAUGCUCAGAAUUGAUCAUACGGGCAGAGACAUGGGCGUGUGUCUCAGCUGUGUGUGCUACACGGCCCAGAACACGGGCGUAUGUCUUGGCCGUGUGAAACCUCCACUUAAUUUCGAAUUGAAUUAAUUAAGCACACGGCCUAGUACAUGGGUGUGUGGCAUGGCCGUGUACACAAGUCAAAGAGUUACUCGGGGUCGAACACGGCUUGUAGCACGGACGUGUCCCUUGGACCACACGGGCAUGUGAGCCCUAUACCUUGGAAAAUUUUUGAAAUGUCGCGAAAAUUUCUUAGAGGUUCCGAUUAAGUCCCGACCCGACUCUAAUGCUCGUAUUGGGCCUCAAGGUUCCAAUUGAGGAACGUUUUGAAUGAUUUCUGUUAAUGAAUAGUAAUUUGCAGAAAUUAUUUAUAAAAUAUUUUGAAAGUUUCAGUUUAGCUACGGUGAAUACGGGUUAGGGGUCAGAGCUACGGUUUAGCCGAAUCUUGGAUUUGACGUAGCAAACACGAGUUUAGCUAUACAUGCCAUUAUAUAAAUUGUGAUAGUGUGAUGACUUCUGAUCAUUUUAAAUGUGUUUUUCAUGUAGUAAUGUCAUACAACCGAGCUAGAGCUGAAUCCAAGGAAGUUAAGAGCAAUGCUUUAGCUUCAGUUCAAAGAGUUGUGUCAGCGUCUGGUAGUGAAAGGCCCGUGUCUAAGGGCCGAAGUGAGGAGACAAAACAAGCUUUCUUUCAAAAGAUGAAUGAACGGUUUACCCAGUAUCUGAAAACAAACCCUGUUGUACAAUGACCUUCCCCACUUGCUCCUCAACUGGUUCCUGAGGUACCACAGGGUGCUGAACCUGUUAGAAUUGGUAAGCCUCCGAUAGAUAAAAUCCACGAACAUGGGACGGAGGAAUUUAAAGCUACCGCAGAUGAUGAUCCAAAAAGGGCUGAGUUUUGGCUAGAAAAUACUAUCUGGGUUUUUGAUGAAUUAUCCGAUACACCAGCCGAAUGUUUGAAAUGUGUAGUAUCUCAACUGAAGGAUAUAACUUAUCAUUGGUGGAAUACCAUAACUUCGGUUGUACCGAGAGAGAACAUUACAAGGGAAUUCUUUUAGGCUAAAUUCAGAAAGAAAUAUGUUAGUCAGAGACUCAUGGAUUAGAAAAAGAAAGAAUUUCUAGAGCACAAACAAGUGAAUAUGAUCGUGUCUGUAUAUGAACGAUAAUUUGUUCGACUGAGCAAAUAUGCCAGAGAAUGGGUUCUAACCAAGGCUGAAACGUGUAAAUGCUUUGAAGAGAGUUUAAAUGAAGAUAUUGAUUGGAAUUCUCGAAAUAAGGGAAUUUGCGGUGUUAGCUAAUCGAGCACACAAAGCUGAGGAAUUAAGUAAAUAGAAGAAACAAGCUGAAAGAGAGGCUUGGGUUUCUGGAAAAAAGAACUAUGGGCAAGUCACAAUUAUUUGCUUCUAAGAAAUUAAAGAGGUAUCAUGAUUGUGUUACCACCUCUACGGGAUAUUCUGGAAUAGAGCAGGGCUCAACGUUCUAACCCGAGGUCUUCAUCUCCAUCUGUGACCAGUGUGGGUAGUGUCGACAAUCCCAAAUUGAAAUGUAAACAUUGUAACAAAUUUCAUCAUGGGGAAUGUUUGUCUAGAAGUGGAGCUCGUUUUGGAUGUGGUGCACUUGACCAUUUUCUCACAUAUUGUAACACCCCUAACCUGUAUCCGUCGCCGGAACAGGGUUACGAGGCAUUACCGAAUAAUGCACAUAAUUCAUAUACAUUUAUGCAUUCAUAAUCAAUAUCCAUUCAAAUCAUCCACAUUGUCCCUUAUAAGGUCCUACGAUACCUUAAAAUAUGCUUAAAAGUGGUUCAAGACUAAACCGAUAACAUUUGCAAACUUUAAGGAACUUAUAAAAUUUUCAAUCAUUUAAGGGUCACACGCCCUUAUGAAUAGGCCGUGUGCCUCACACAGCCACUAGAUACGCCAAUGUCACAGGCCGUGUAAAAACAGGGCAUACAUUCUGACUUGCACCACACGGUUGAGUACAUGCCCAUGUGCCAAGCUGUAUGAAAACUGGAGGGGUUACUAACCUGGGUCACACGGCCAGCCACACGCCCAUGUGCCAGCCCGUGUGUCUAGACCGUAUCAAACCUAUAGGGUAUACUGACUUAAAUUCAAAGGGUACCCUAGGGGACACGCGACCGUGUAGCAUGACCGUGUGUCGCACACGAUUGAGACACACGCUCGUGUGGACAAAAAUAGGCUAUUUGCAAAGCCAAUUUGCCACCCUUUUCUCAAGCACACCAAGCAAUCACUAUGGUACCAUUUCAAUACAUUUAUAGGCAGCCAAAACAUACCAAUUCAUACACAUUUCAUACCAUUUAUAAACCAUUCUCUUAACUAUUCAAAUCCAUAACCAAAACAUUCCAAAUCAAUCUGCCAAAAUCAUCAAACUUACAUAAUUUCUAAAUGCAUUUCCUCAUCAUCUUAUCAUCUAUUUCAUGCUUCAAAUCAUACCAUUUCAUCAUCUCAAAACCAAGCCACAACAUAUUAUCAUUCAACCAUUAACUCACUAAUUGGAAACUAGUUACUUGAUCAACCAUAUAACCAUACCAAACAAACCAAAACAUAUGACGACUUAUACAUCAUGAAUUACUUACCAAACACCUAAUUCAAGCCAACUUAAAUGGCCAUACACACCAAUAUUUACACCAUUUCAUAAGCCAAUACAAAUGGCUAAUAUCUUAACUCAAAACUUAUCAUCAAACUACUAGCCUAUACAUGUCAUAUACCAUAAUUACAAAGCUUCAAAAGUACCAACAAGAUGAUCGAUAGUGUGAUGACGUUUCCAAAAAUCCCCAAGCUUGAGCUAGCUUCGAUAAUUUAUAAAAUAGGGAAAGAACACACAAAGUAAGCUUUAAAAGCUUAGUAAGUCAUAUACAACUAAAGUCAUCAUAUGAAUAUUUGCAUAUCAAUUCAAAUAUGCUAAGCAUAGCUAGACACAUACAAGCUCACACACCUUUUCAUUGUACAUAUAUUCAAUAUCAUAAUUGAAUUCAUCAAAUACUUCCCUUUUCAAUACUCGUAUGAAUCUCGUACGUACCUGAGUCACUUAACUCAUUCACACAUUCUUUCUCAACUUGACUUUUCCUGUUGAACCGUUCGGAAUCGUUAAGGAUACUCGACAAUCACAUAUAACUCGUACAAUGCCAUAUCCCAAAGAUGGUCUUACAUGUUAUCACAUAUCGAUGCCACUAUCCCAGACAGGGUCUUACACGAAAUCAAUUAACGAUGCCAAUGUUCCAGACAUGGUCUUACAAGUAAUCACAUAUCGGUAACCUAAUGUCGUGACAUUUGUAUCCUCUACUAUUAUUAAGGUUCGUACAAGACUUUCGGAUAUCAUAACUUCAUCGAUUCUUGCUCGUAUUUACUCGUUCAACAUUCAUAGUAGUUCAAGGACAAAUAAACAUAUAUAAUUCAAUUUUAAAGAUAUUUAUUUGCAUAUGAACUUACCUCGUAGUCGGAAUAGAGAGAUUGAAUCGACUAUUCGAUAACCUUAGAUUUUUCUCGAUCUAAAUUCGAUUUCUUUCUUUCUUGAUCUAUAUACAUUCAAAAUUAACUCAUUUAUUCAUAAAUUCAUUCAAUUUCAUCCAAAACACACAAUUUGGGCAUUUUUAUACUUUAGCCCCUAAAGUUCCACAUUUACUCAAUUUAGUCCCUAUUUCAUAAAUACACAAAAUUCAUGAAAUUCAAUUUAACCCACGCUUGACCGAUUUUCAUAGAGACCUAUAGCAGCCCAAAACUUUCAUUUAUUCACACUUUUAAUCCCAUAUUUUUAUUUUUUCACAAUUUAAUCCCUAAUAUGCAUUUUUACUAAAAAUCACUCUACAAAACAUAGAUAUCCAUAACUACACUUUCAUAAUUCAUCAUCAAACAUUCAAAAACACAUGAAUUUAUCAUUGGCAACUUUCAAAAUAUUAAGCAGUUUUGCAAAUUAGUCCUUGGGCUAGCUAGCACUCAAAGCAACGAUCACAAAAACAUAAAAAUCAUCAAAAACCGAACUCAAAUCAUACCUUAAUCACAAACACAAAGUGCCGAACUCUAAAACAUGAAAAUUGCUUCUUCUUUCUUCUAUUUUUGGUGCAAAAAGAUGACAAAAUGGCCACCAUUAUGUUUGUUUUAAUUAAUAAUAACAUGAUUUAUCAAUUACCAAUAUUAACCUAUAAUAAUAGCCUUUAAAACAAUUAAUAUAAGGCCAUUUAUGAAAAAUUCCACUAUCAAUGGUCUAAUAUCAACAUAAGGACCUUUCAAUUAAUAAACCAUAGCAAAUAAACACUUUUAACUUAUAGAAUGCCACUUUUACAUUUUACGCGAUUUAGUCAUUUUUAUCAAAUUGAGCUAUUAAACGAUAAAAAAUUAAUUCACGAAAUUUUCAUAUAUAUAUAAUCGCAUGCUAUAAUCACCAAAAAUAAUAUUAAAAUAAAUUUUUGACCUCAGAUUUAUGGUCUUGAAACCACUGUUCUGAUUUAACUAAAACCGGGCUGUUACAGAGAUUGUCCAGAAAGGGUUGAAAAAGAGAUAAAACUAGCUCCAAAGCCUAGUAAUCCUGUUUCGAGAGGUAGACCACCCGAUCACUCCGGCAAUGUUAGUGGUAGUCGAGGCACUAACAAGGAUACAACAAUUAGAUCUGAAGCACAAGCACCUUCAAGAACAUAUGCUAUUCGUGCUAGAGAGGAUGCCUCUGUACCAGACGUCAUUACUGGUACAUUUUCUCUACUUGAUACUGAUAUUACUACUUUGAUUGAUCAUGGUUCCACAUAUUCAUACGUAUGCACGAACUUGUGACUGUUAAAAAAAUUACCUGAUGAAUUCAUUGAAUUUGUGGUUAAAGUUUCAAACCCCCUGGGCCAGUGUGUUAUGGUGGAUAAAGUUUGUAAAAACUGUCUGUUGAUGGUAAAAGGUUAUUGCUUUUCGGCUGACUUGAUGUUAUUACCAUUUGAUGAAUUUGAUGUGAUUUUGGGAAUGGAUUGGUUAACCCAAUAUGAUGCAGUGGUGAAUUGUAAGCAGAAAUAUAUUGUAUUGAAAUGUGAGAGUCGUGAAUUACUUCAUGUUGAAUCUGAUAAACUGGAUGGAUUACCUAAUGUAAUUUCAGCAAUAUCAGUAUAGAAAUAUGUCAAAAAGGGUUAUGAUGUUUAUCUUGUACAUGUGUUGGACACUAAAGUAUCUGAGUCAAAGAUUCAGUCAGUGCCGGUUGUAUGUGAAUUUCCUAAUGUAUUCCCAAAAGAAUUACCUGAUUACCACUGAAUAGAGAAGUGGAAUUCUCUAUAGAUCAUGUUUCAGGUACAACACCUAUAUCCAUUGCACCUUACAGGAUGACUCUUACUGAAUUGAAAGAGAUGAAAGUACAGUUGCAAGAGUUGAUUGACAGAGGUUUUGCUCGACCUAGUUUCUCACCUUGGGGUGCGUCAGUUCUGUUCGUAAAGAAGAAAGCUAGAUCGUUGAGGUUGUGCAUUGAUUAUAGAUAGCUCAACAAAGUUGCAAUAAAGAACAAGUAUCCUUUGCCUCGCAUUGAUGACCUAUUUGACCAGUUAAAAUGUGCCACUGUAUUUUCAAAGAUUGAUCUCCAUUCUAGUUACUAUCAACUACGUGUAAAAGAUUCAGAUGUGCCAAAGACAACUUUCCAAACCCGAUAUGGACACUAUGAGUUUCUUGUGAUGCCAUUCGGUUUGACAAAUGCACCUGUAGUGUUUAUGGAUCUGAUGAACAAAAUAUUCAGCCCAUAAUUGGAUAAGUUGUGGUGGUAUUUAAAGAUGAUAUUUUGGUUUACUCCUGAGAUGAAAAUGAACAUGUUGAGCAUUUAGGAAUAGUGUUGUAAACCUUGCGAGAGAAACAAUUGUAUGCCAAAUUUAGUAAAUGUGAAUUUUGGCUACGGGAAGUUAGUUUUCUUGGGUAUAUUGUAUCUACUAAAGGUGUCAGGCUAGAUCCGAAUAAAAUUUUAGCCAUUGUUAACUGGAAGCCACCAAAGAAUGUGUUUGAAGUUUGAAGUUUUAUUGGACUAGUUGGUUAUUAUCAGAGGUAUGUAAAAAAAUUUUCAAUGAUAAAUUCUCCGAUGACUCAUUUACUAAAGAAAUAUGUAAAGUUUGAGUGGACUGACAAAUGCCACAGAGUUUUGACUGAUUAAAAGCUUUGUUGACAGAAGCUCCAGUGUUAGUUCAACCAGAAUCGAGUAAGGAAUUUAUAAUUUACAGUAAUGCAUCAUUGAAUGGUUUAGGUUGUGUUUUGAUGCAAGAAGGUAAAGUGGUAACUUAUGCUUUACGAUAGCUAAAGCACAUGAAAAGAACUACCAGACACAUGAUCUUGAAUUUGCAUUGAAAAUCUGGCGGCAUUACCUGUUUGGUGAAAAAUGUCACAUAUUCACUGAUCAGAAAAGUAUGAAAUAUCUGAUGUUAUAGAAAGAUUUAAAUUUUAGAUAGCGUAAAUGGCUUGAAUGAUGGAAAGAUUAUGACCUCGUCAUUGACUAUCAUCCGGGAAAAGCCAAUGUAGUGGCAGAUGCUCUGAGCAAAAAAUAUCUAUAUACUUUGCGAGCAAUGAAUACUCGAUUGUCAUUAUCUGAUGAUAGUUCAAUCAUAGCUGAGUUAAAAGCUAGACCAACGUUUUUGCAACAGAUCUCUAAAGCUCAGAAAAAUGAUAGUAAGUUGCAAGCAAAUUGGAUACAAAGUGAGUUGACUCCUGAUUCAGAAUUUCAAAUCGGGUCUGAUGGUUGUUUGUUAUUCAGAGGCAGAGUAUGUGUACCAAAAAGUUCAAAACUAGUACAGAAGAUUUUGAAUAAAGCUCAUAACGGUAACAUGUCUAUAAAUCUUAGUAGUAAUAAAAUGUAUAAUGAUCUGAAAAAGAUGUACUGGUGGUCGGGAAUGAAACGAGAUAUUUCUGAGUUUGUAUCUAAUGUUUGAUAUGUCAGAAAGUAAAAGCUGAACAUUAGUUGCCUUCUGGACUACUACAACCAGUUACGAUACCGGAAUGGAAAUGGAAAAGAAUUACUAUGGACUUUGUAUCAGGGUUACCAUGUCUCCAAAGAAGAAAGAUGUCAUUUGGGUAAUUGUUGAUCGAUUAACAAAGUCUGCACACUUUAUUCCAGUACGUAUGGAUUAUCCUUUGGACAGAUUGGUUGAAUUAUAUGUUUCUGAGAUUGUCAGAUUGCAUGAAGUGUCUGUCUCCACUAUUUCAGAUAGAGACCCUCGGUUUACAUCUUGAUUCUGGAACAAAUUGCAAGAAGCCCUAGGUAUUCAGUUACAAUUUAGUACUGUAUUUCACCCCCAGACAGAUGGUCAAUCUGAGCGGGUAAUGUAGAUCUUGGAAGAUAUGCUUUGAUGUUGUAUACUUGAGUUUGAAGGUAACUAGGAAAGGUAUUUGCCUUUGGUUGAAUUUGCUUAUAAUAACAGUUAUCAGUCUAGUAUUAAAAUGGCAUCGUAUGAAACCUUGUGUAGUCACAAAUGUAGAACUCCAUUGUAUUAGACAAAAAUCAGUGAGAAAAAGUUACACGGAGUUGACUUAGUCUGAGAGAUUGAGGAAAAAGUGAAAGUAAUUCGAGACAGUUUAAAAGCAACAUUUGAUAGUUAAAAGUCCUAUGCUGAUCUUAAACGAAAGGAAAUAGAAUUUCAAGUCGGUGACAAGGUAUUCUUGAAAGUAUCACCUUGGAAGAAAGUUCUCCAAUUUGGUCGUAAAGGAAAACUGAGUCCACGGUUCAUUGGACCAUAUGAGAUUACAGAAAGAAUCGGAACUAUUGCAUAUCGGUUAGCUUUACCACCAGAACUUGAUCGGAUUCAUAAUGUUUUUCAUGUGUCAAUGCUACAGCGGUACCAAUCAGAUCCUUCACAUGUUAUUUCUCUGAUAGAGAUAGAGAUUCAACCUGAUAUGACAUAUAGUGAAGAACCAAUCAAAAUCUUAGCUUGGGAAACAAAAGAGUUAAGAAAUAAGAAGGUAAUUUUAGUAAAAGUUCUUUGGCAACGACACGAUAUUGAAGAGGCUACCUAAGAAUUGGAGGAUACUAUGAGGAAGUAAUACCCGAAUCUUUUUACUGGUAAGAUUUUCAAGGACAAAAAUCCUUAAAGGGGGGAGAGUUGUAACAGCCUAUUUUUAAGUAAAAUCGAAACAGUGGUUUUAGGACAACAAAUCUGAUCCGAAAAUAAAGUUUAUUUUUAUUUUAUAAUAUAGUCCGUAUAUUGGUAGACAUGUUGUGUAAAAAUUUUGAUACGAAAAUUUUAUCGAUUAAGUGCUCAAUUCCGAUAAGGACUAAAUCGCAUAAAAUACGAAAGUUGAAUUCUAGUAGCUAUAAGGAUUAAAUAGCUAUGGAAUUCAAAUCUAGAGGUCCUUAUGUGAUAAUUAGACCAUUAAAGAAAAGUAUGUAGAUUUUUGGUGACUCAUCCAUGGAAAGAUUAUAAAAUAGUAGGGACGAAAUUGAAAAUUAAAAGAUGAUAAAAGGAAAAUAUCAUCUUAUUUUGUCAUCUUCAACCCCAACAUUAUAUGCAAACCCUAAGAGAGAGAGAAGAAACUUUCAAGGCUUAAUUAGGUAAGUUUCCUUGUCUCAUUUUUAGUAAUUUUGAUAUUUUUGAAACAGGGAUAGUCUAAUCUAUCUAUUUGGGGGAUUAAUUUGAAAAGUUAUCAAGGUAUGAAAUUUGGGUCAUAGAUGUAUAUGCUGAAAAUUAGAAAUUUAUGGUAGAAAAUGAAAGGUUUUUGAUAGAUAAACAACUUUUACAAAGUGAUUUUUGAUGAAAAUAUGAUUUAGGGACUAAAAUGUAAACUUGUGAAAUUGAAGGAAAAUUAUGAAUUUUUAUGAAUACAUGUGCUGUAAAUUUUGUAAUGGGAUUUUGGUUAGGCUUGGAAUAGGGAUUAAAUUGCACAAGUUUCAUUUUCCGAGCCUAGGGACGAAAUUAAAAUUUAUGGAAAAGUUAGGGGCAAAAUGGUAAUUUUGCCUAGGUUGUAAAUUGAGUCCAAAUAAAUAUGAAAUAUGUGAAAUUGAUGAUUAAAGCUAUUUAUAUAGAUUUGGAAAACACAAAUUCGAGGUUAGACCGAGGAAAAGAAAAGGUUUCAGAUUAGUAGAUUUUAUACGCGAACAAAUGUCGAGGUAAGUUCAUGUAACUUAAUCUGUCAUGUAAAUAUGAUUAAUUGAAUGUUAUGUUGUAUGGAAUGUGACUUGUAUUGAUGAUGUACAUUACUUGAAUGCUAUAAUGAGAAAUUUAAUACGUGUUUGAUAUGGUGAAAAAGGGUUAAGUCCCGAUUGAAUAUUGAAUUCCGAUGAAUAUAUGCGCUUUCCCGAAACGAAUAAGGUCCUACAUUUGUUGCAGAUGGGAUUUAGCUCAGACGAGUAAUCCUAUUGACCUUUUUAUAAAAAGGAUUUAGCUUUGACGGGUAAUCCUGAUAUAAUACCUUUCGUGUAUACGUUGGGUUUAUCCUGGACUGGUAAUCCUAAUUGAACUCUUCUGAGCAUACGUUAUAUAAAGAUUUAGCCUGGACUGGUAAUCCUGUUAUACAAUAUGUGGCUCGAGAGUGUGAUCCUUAAUUAAGCGCCUUAAUGGGUACCCUCAAAUAAGAAUUGACAGAUUAUGGAACCGUACACCUCGAGUGUACUACUUGAGCAUUCAUCGGAAUUCCAAUGAUUCAAUGGACACAACUCUUGACAUUGUAUGAGAAUUUUGAGUUGAAAUGAUAAUGACUUGAAAGAAUAUUGCAUGAUGAGCUUAUCUAUGUUUACUUGAUUACUAUGACGAUUUUGGUGACUAACAUGUUUGAUUGAAUGCAUGUGUUUAGGCAAUAUUGUUAAUGGAUGGAAAACAUGAUAUUGUAUACUUAGAUUUAAAUAACGGCAUUGGUAAGUUUAGUUUCCAUUAUACGAACUUACUAAGGAUGUAAUGCUUACUCCGUUUUAUUUUUCCCUAUUUUAUAGUGCUCAGAAGCUCGCGAAGGUUGGAAGAUCAUUGGAGCAUCGUCACACUAUCAUUUAGCUUAUUUUGGGUAUACUUAGUAAAAUCAUUUUGGUAUAAUGGCCUGUAUAGGACAACUUUUAACCAUUAGUGGCUUGAUAAUGAUGCUUGUAAUCUAGCCAUUGGAAUGGCUAGUAAUGGUUGUUUUGAUAUACUUGUAAUGUCAUGUUAUGGUAGCUAAAUAUAUGUUAAGUAGUUGAUCAAAUUAUGUCUAAUAUAUGGAUUGAACCAAGGUAAGAUUGUGAGCAUGUAUACAUGUAAGGGUAUGCCAUGAUGAAUGAUGGAAAUUGCUUAAUUUGAAUGCUUGAAAUGGUUGGUAUUGGAUGUGUGUUUCAAGUGCAGGUCUUGGGUGAAAUUUUGGGUGAGAAAUGAAGCUAGAAAUGGUAUCAUUUUGUCCACAUGGGCAGACACACGGGCGUGUGUCUAAACUGUGUGUGACACAUGGCCUGGUAACAUCGGCAUGUAGUCAGGUCGUGUGUCCCCUGCACCUUAAUUUUGAGAAACAGAAUGCUCAGAAUUGAGCACACGGGUAGAGACGCAGGCAUGUGUCUCAGCCGUGUGUGCUACACGGCCUAGAACAUGGGCGUGUGUCUUGGCAGUGUGAAACUUGCACCUAAUUUCAAAUUGAAUUAAUUAACCACACGGCCUAGCACAUGGGCAUGUGGCAUGGCCAUGUGCACAAGUCAAAGAGUUACACGAGGUCAAACACGGCUUGUAGCACGGGCGUGUCCCUUGGACCACACGGGCGUGUGAGCCCUGCACCUUGAAAAAUUUUUUAAAUGUUGUGAAAAUUUCUUAGAGGUUCCUAUUGAGCCCCAACCCAACUCUAAUGCUCGUAUUGAGCCUCGAGGGUCCAAUUGAGGGACAUUUUGAAUGAUUUCAGUAAAUGAAUAGUAAUUUAUAAAAAUUAUUUGUAAAAUGUUCUGAAAGUUUUGGUAAUGCUCCGAGACCCUAUUCCAAUGGCGGAUAUGGGUUAGGAUUGUUACACAAUCGUCUCACCCAGAUCUUCGAGAUGAGCUAUCAAAGUUGAUGGACAUGAUGCAACACAUGUAGUGGCAGAAAUGAGCUUACUGGAGAUAUUCAAAAAUAUUCAAAAAUAUUCAACGAACCAUUUUUUUGUGCCUGAGUUUCCCAAUUUUAUAUUUGAACCAUAGAGUCCACCAUCGAAGAGGGAACGAAGCGAUUCAUGCAAAAACAAAGAUGAUGAUGCAAAAGAUGAGUUGGAUUCUGAAGGAUCUGCAAAUAAAAAAAAUGCAGAGAUCUUGACUCUAUUUUAUUUUCGUUCUUAGGUUAUUUAAUGUUUUAAGAUUAUGUUCUAUUAGGAUUUUUAAUUUUUUGCAUAAUAAAACAAGAUAUGGAAAUCAUGAAUAAAAAAGAACAAGUUUUUAUAAUAAGAAGUGUGGCAAUAGAUAUAUACAUGUCUAGGAUUGGAUCUAGAAAAAGUUGGGUACUUAAGCAGUCAAAUUGACUCACCUCCCCUUUUCUAGAAUCCUACCUGGUGUCUAGUAUCUAUUCACUUCUAAAAAUGAGGACAUUGUUCAUAUUAAGUAGAGGGGACAGAAAAAUUGAAAUUAUUUCCUCUCAGAAUAAAAUUUUCUUUUAAUUAUGAUUAGGUUAUAUUUUGUUCAAAAAAUUUGAAAUUUUGUUAAGUAUGCUAAACUUCAAUAUGAAUAAAGUUCUAUUAUUUCAAUAAUGGUAAUGUUAGUCGAAUUAUGACAUAAAUGUACUCUUAAUAAAAUAUGUAAAUCAUACCAUAAAACUUUUAGUUCCUUAGGAAAGCUAGACAUGCAUGAAAGUUUAAGUCUUUAGAAUUGACUUAGUAAUUUCUUGAGGUGAAAUCCUAGGAAUCAUGGAAUGUUGAAAAUGAUUUAGGCAAACUUUUGUUUGGACUGUUUGAGUCUUUCAAGCCAACCUUAAUAAAUUUUAUCCCUUGAAACCCAACUUUGAGACUAUAUGGCCUACUUAUAUUUGAACCUAUACAAUAUUUAGCGAUCACUUCUCUCUUAAUUAAUUUUUUCCAAACAUUAGACUCAGUACUAUUCAGAAUAUUCUUUGAAAAUAAGUUUGGGGGAGUUGAAAAGAAGUAUCAAAUGCUCAAAAAAAAAUUGUAGUACAUACAGCAAAAUGCUUGUGAAAAAAAAAAGAAAAAAAAAGAGAAGUGCUUAUGUACUCGAAAGAAAUAAAUUUACAAAAGAGCAUGUGAAAGCAAAAUAAGUUGGUGUAUUGAAGGUAAAUAGUUCGAAGUUCCGAUUGAAGCUGAGCUUAGGGUUUUUAGCCUAAAUUUAGCUAUCUUUCACCUACCCUUAGCCUAGCCAUGUUACAACCUAUUUAAAAUACCUAUUGAUUCAAGUUUUUUUGCUACCUACAUUAGUGGAAAGAAAUUGCUACGUCCAACAUAUGAAGGCAUAAUUUAAACUUAAUGAUUUCAACAUAUGAAGGCAUAAGUUAAACUUAAUGAUUGUAGCUUAAUCUUAAAUAAGGGAAUAAAAUCAAAUUGGUAGGGAUUUAACAUGUCUUUAUUGAGUAAGCAUUUAGUUUAUUUUUGCCAUCAUAAUAAUAAUUGAGAUUAAUUUGAAUGAUAUGUAUGCUUAAGUAGCAUAAAUAUCAAAUUUCAUGUUCUUGAGCAUAAGUAUACUAAUUCAUAAUUUUGGGAAGAAUGUUUUUCUAAAGGAAUUAUUUUUCAAAGUUUUUUUUGAGAAAUUCUUUUCAAUUUAUGCAUUGCUCGGACAAGCAAUGAAUUAAGUUUGGGAGUGUGGAAGCACGGAAAUAUACACACUUUUUAACUCAUAUUCAUGUAAUUUCAUAGUAAUUCUUGUCGAAAAAUAUAUAAUAAUUAUAAAAUAAUUAAAUUGUACUUAAAUUAUUAACAUGUUGAAUUUUAAUUAAUUUUAUAAUAAAUUUUGAUUUAUUUUCAACAAAUUCGCACAAAGGGCGAAAAUUGGCUCGAUAGACACUACUGGAAGCACAAACCAAGAAGCAAUUUUGAAUCAUCAAGGCGAAUUAAUUUUUCAGCCUAAGACAGUCCAAAUUAUUAAUAUUAAUUCAUAAUAUAAUUAAUUUUAAUUUUAUUCCAAUUUAUUUUGGGUUAAAUAAUUAUUAUUAAUUAAAUUAUGAAAAGAGAUCCAAUAGUGCUGAACCGAGAAAACCAAUCCAAUCGAGCAAUGGACUGCCCAAAACCGUCCCACAUGCUAACCCAAUCUGCUUGUUUAGCUGAUUAUUUGGCUUACAAAAUAGCCCUUGAAGUCUCCUUGAAUUUGCAUUCAAACCCUUCCAUUUAUUAAGCCUUUCUAGAUUUGCCCUUACCUAAAAAUUGCAAGUUUGAAACCUUCAAACUUGCCAUAUGUGUGGCCGGCCAGGGGGAGUCUAUGGCUGCUAAUUUUUUCUAUUUUUAUCAGCCUUCUCAACCUAUAAAUACCCCCUUGGCUGCUCAAUUGAAACACAUCUCUCAUCCUCUCAUUCUUCACUUCUCUCUCACUUUUCUCUUUUCAAAACCCUUUAUUUGUUCUUCUUUUUCCCUUCCAUUCCCUUGUCGAUUUCCCCUCUUGGAAAAGAUGCCUUCAACCACCUUUUGAUGCAGCAUUCAAGUGCUUGUAGAAGCCUCAGUUCAACAAGAACAAGCGGAGAAGGAGGAGCGGAGCAAACUAGUCAAGCUUCGGAGAAACAUCGGAUUUGAUUCUAGUUCCCUAUCCUUUAAUUUUUAUUGUUGUUGUUAUGAACAUGCCUAUGAAUACUUGUGAUGUUGAUAUGUUUAAUUUAAUUAAUAUUGCUUAAAUUUAAUUCAUGUUAGGUUGAUUACAUUUCGUCUACUUAAAUUAUUAAAAUUAUUUUUGUGUUGUUUUAGGUCUUGGUAAAUUGUUUGAUUAAGUAAAAUCAUGAUUAAGUUAUUCUUGCAUUAUAAUUGUAAGGUAACUAAUGAAUUAAUUAUUUAAUCAUGUUGGAAUUAUAAUUAAUUGAAAAAAUACUUAAUCAAUGCAUGUUUAAUCUUCUAAGGUAGCUGAGGGUUAAAUUAGUGACAAUAUUAGACGAUAUAUUAGCCUUGCAUAACUUGCAAGAUUGUUAUGAUUAAAUUGUUUCAAGGUAGGAAUACAUUGUUGCCUCACUUAUCUUUUAUGUGCUUAUGAAGAUUGAUUAAUUUUUUAAAUUGGAAUUGGAAAAUUUUCAAGAGAUUAGUUAAUUUAAUAGGUACAUAUGAGCAGUAGUUAGCAAAUUACCAAGUUGCUGUGAAUUUAUUCGUAACAACAUGAACAUGAGUUUAGUAAUUCUAAGUUAAGAAAUGUAAUUAAUCUAACACAAUUAUGUCAUCUUGAUUAAAAUCAUCUUUUGAAAUCGUGCAUUGGAAUUUUUAUUUUUAUUUUAUUUAUUUUACGUAGUUAAAUUUUAGUUUUAAUCACUUCCUCAAAAUCAAAAUAUUUUUCUUCACCAAAAUGUUUUUAAUUGCAUUCAUAAAUAAUUUCUUACACAGUCCCUGUGGGUACGAUAACUUGACAUUACUUGUCACUUUAUUACUUGUUGCAAUUGUGUACACUUGCACAUAUCCAUCGUUCCAAGUUUUUGCCCCAUGGCCGGCCACACAUGUGGCAAGUUUGAAAAUUUCAAACUUGUUGUUUUUACAUAGGGGCAAAUCUAGAAAGGCUUAAUAAGUGGAGGGGUUUCAAUGCAAAUUCAAUGAGACUUCAAGGGCAAUUUUGCAAGCCAAAUUAGGUCAGCAUGUGGGACGGUUUUGGGCAACCUGUAACACCCCUUACCCGUAUCUGAUGUCGGGACAGGGUUCGAGGCGUUACCAGACUUAAACGUACACCAUUUCAUAAAACCAGGCCAUAAAAUUUCAUUUAAGAUUGAAACAUUCAGUCUCAUGCAUAAUUUCCCUUACACAAUCUACCAAGGCUCUGAACAUACAUUAAAGGCGGUUUGGGACUAAACCAAAAACUUUAGAAAGUUCAGGAAAACUUAUAAAUUUUUUUUCCAUGAAGCAGAGUCACACGCCCGUGUGUCUUCAACACACCCGUCUUCUCAGGCCUUGUAACUCUCUGACUAUGAUGUCAUCUUGCAAAAUGAACCAUAUGGUCAAGCCACACGCCCGUGUGCUAGGCCAUGCCCUCCACACAGCUGAGACACAUAGCCGUGUCUCUGCCCGUGUGGCCAACACUUAGGCUAGUUCCCAAGCCUUUUGUUGUCUUUAAUUCUCUCCCAUACUUAAACACGUCAUAGGCACAAAUUAUAACAUCAAUUUAAUGGUUAAUCAUCCUUUAGUGACAUUCAAUUAAAUCAUUUUCAUGUUGUCAUACAUGUGUUUUAUCACAUAUACUCAUGUUACACCAAGUUGGGCUUACUAGUUCACACUCAAUAGUCUUAUCAUACUGAUGACCAUUUUUACCAAUUAACCAUAAUAUUUAACCCAACACUUAAUCUCUACUUAAUCAACAAUGUUCAUGUUCAAUCAUUAUCAACUUAUUACCAUGCCACACAUUUAUUCCAUGACCAUGACCACCUCAAAUGGUCCUAAGGCGUUCAUCAUGUGCAUAUGCCAUAUACUACCCAUUCAUAGUAAUAAGCAUAAUCACAUCACAAGGUAUUAACACAUAGCUUGGAUAAAUAGGCUUACGAGCCAUAACCAUUAUAAGCCACAUCUCAUGGCUAUAUACAAUAAAUCAAUAUAUACCAAUACAUUUGGCUAAUCAUAAUAACAUCUAUAAUAAAAACUAAGUCUUUAUACAUGCCACUCACAUGUGUACAAUUAACUUAUACAUGUUAACACUUCAAAGGUGAUGGCUUGAUAGUGUGAUGCUGCCUCUGACGAUCUCCAACCCCGAGCUAACCUGACAACACUAAAAGAAAUGGAAAUAGGGGAGUAGGAUUUAUGCUUAGUAAGCUCGCAUGAAAAUAAUAAGCAAGGAGUUAAUAUGCUAUUUCAAUUUCUCUCUAUUUAUUCAAAAUCCAAUCAAGCUGUUUACUUGAUUCACAGUCACUAAGUUAUUUAUAUCUAGAGCUACGAAACUCUAAAUUAAUAUAUGCUAAUUAUCCCUGAAACUAGACUCAAAUAACUUCUUAUGAUAAAAUUUCAUAAUUUUUGGUCUAGCCAAUAAGUAAAGUUUAUUCUUCAAAGUUACCCCUAUUUUGCUGUCUCGAAGUUUCGACCUCUCUUCACUAUGAAUUAAUUAUCUCAUAGUACAAGACUUGGAUGGAGAUUAUGUCUAUUUCUCUUUAAAAUGGAUUCAUUAAGUAUUUUAGGCAUAUAAAUUAUAAUCCAUAAUCAUUUUUUUACAAUUUUUAAUUAUUUUCAAAAAUUAAGAUAGGGGAGUCUGAUAUCACUCUGACCCUGUUUCACAAAAAUUAGAAUAUCUCAUCAUAUGAUAUUCCUUUGCUUACACUAUUUCCUUUAUCUGAAACUAGAAUCGAUAAGAUUUAAUGUAAUAUUUUACUCAGCCUCUAACUCAAUUUACACUAUUUUUGGUGGAUUUUCAAAGUCAGACUAUUACUGCUGUCCAAAUAGUUUUAGAGAAAUAAAAUGAUAAUCAUCAUAAGAUUGCCAUGAAAAUUAUUCACACAUGAAUCACUCAUUCAUUUGCAUUCUUACCACAAAUCCAUUUCAUUUCACAUGUCAAACACAUGUUCGUGGGUUUCGAGUACGUACCUGUGCUAUCUCUUAGCACAACUACUCGUCCAAACAUGACAAUCUUAUAUAUAUCUAGUAAGAACUUUUAAUUCAUUUCUCGUAUUAAUCCCGUUGAACCUUCUCAAAAAUUUCGAUGGAUAUCCCAUGUACCAUUAAGUCGUACAAGUGAUCAUUUCAAGUACGCACUCCCGCGAACCCCACUCAUUACGAUGGGAUUAGCAGUCCAGGCUAAAUCCUUUACAAUGACAUACACUCUCAUAAACUCGGAUCUGAAUCACCAGUCCAGGCUAAAUUUAAUCCUUAAUCGGAUUACCCGUCCAGGCUAAAUCCUUAAUGCACCCAUAUUCUUCAGGAGGCUCGAUCACUUAAGGAACACCCGUCCGGGCUAGAUCCUUUCUAUAUUGAGAUCAACGAAUUACCCGUCCGGGCUAAAUCCUUUUCUGCAACACAUGCAGGAUCUCAUGUCAUGUAAAUAAUGAUUUAUCCAUCGGAUAUCCCUUUUUAUUCAACCGAGAAUUUUCUCUUUUCAUCAAGUAUAUCAAUAUGCAUAGAUGAUCAUGCAAUGUGCAUUCAAUUCAACACAUUUUCAUGUUUAUUUGGGCAUUAGUCCAUACAAUAAAAAUAACAUAUCACCUAGUUUUCAUACAAACUUAUUCAUUUCAUUUAAAAUAUCAUAUUCCAUCAAAUUUCCAUUAACAUCAAAUUCAAUACAAUCAUAGCAAGAUAUAUCCCAUGUAUAACAAUAAUAACAUGAAUAAUAGGCUUAUUAAAUCACGGGAACUUACCUCGAAUACGGAAACGACAAAGUUACCAUUUUAAUCCAUAACAUUGUAUUUUCCCGAUUUAAUCCCGAAUCUCAAUUUCCUUGAUCUAUCAUUUCAAAUAUAGCCUAUUUAGGACUCACAUUGUUCAAAUUGACCCAAAAAUCAUAUUUUUACAAAAUUACAUUUUUGCCCCUAAACUUUGUCAAAAUUACACUUUUUCCCCUAGGCUCGUAAAAUUAUUUUUAUUCAAUUUUAUCGCUCUAUAGGCCUAGCCGAACCAUUUUUAUAACUAUAGAAAACUACAAUUCUCAUCAAAACACCCUUUUAUACCAUUUUUACAACUUUUACAAAAUGGUCCUUUUGGAUGUUCUCAUCGAAAAUCGCUUAGUAAAAGUCGUUUAUUUAACACCCAACACUCAUUUUCUACCAUUAGACAUCAAAAUGCAUGCAUAUCACACCUGGGUCAAUUUUUAAACAUGAACCCUAGCUCAAAUUAAUAGUAGAAAUAGAUAGAUCUUGUUACAGGGAUUGCAAAAACAUAAAAAUCAUUAAAAAUGGGGCUAGAACGGACUUACAAUCGAGCUUGGAAGCUUGAAAAACCCUAUCCAUGGUUUCUCCAUGCAAGUUUCGGCCAAGAGGUUGAAGAUGGACAAAAUUGGCUUUUAAUUUUGUUUUUAAUUCAUUUUAAUAACUUAAAUGACCAAAAUGCCCUUAAUGAAAAACUGUGGAAAAAUGCCUAACCAUGUCCAUUUUUGUCCACCAACUUAACCAAUGGUCUAAUUACCAUAUAAGGACCUCCAAUUUAAAAUUUCAUAACAAUUUGACACCUCUAGCAUGUAGAACUCAACUUUUUCACUUUUUACUAUUUAGUCCUUUUGACUAAAUUGAGUGCCUAAACGUAAAAAAUUUCAAACAAAAUUUUCACGAAAUCAUUCCGUGAAAUUUUAAACCAUAAAAAUAUAAUAAAAACAAAAUUUUCCUUAUCGGAUUUGGAGUCCCGAAACCACUGUUCCGAUUAGGCCCAAAAUCGAGAUGUUACACAACCCAUUGCUCAAUUGGAUCAGUUUUCUCGGUUCAGUACAACUGAGCCUUUUUUCAUAAUUUAAUUAAUAAUAAUUAUUUAACCCAAAAUAAAUUGGAUUAAAAUUAAAAUUAAUUAUAUUAUGAAUUAAUAAUAUUCAUAAUUUAGACCGUCUUAGAUUGAAAAAUUAAUUCGCCUUGAUGCUUCAAAAUCGCUUCUCGGUUUGUGCUUCCAGUAGUGUCUGCCAAGCCAAUUUUCGCCAUUUGUACGAAUCUGUUGAAAAUAAAUCAAAAUUAAUCAAAAUUUAUUAUAAAAUUAAUUAAAAUUCAACAUGUUAAUAAUUUAAGUAAAAUUUAAUUAUUUUAUAAUUAUUAUAUAUUUUUCGACAAGAAUUACUACGAAAUUGUAUGAAUUUAAGUUAAAAAAUGCAUGAAAAAGUGUGUAUAUUUUCUUGUUUCCAUCGUGCGACUUCUUUUCACACGGUUAUAGCUUAUCACACGACUUGGAUACACAGCCGUGUGAUCUUUUUUUGCUGAAAUUUCUAUUUUUUUGUUAAGUUUACAAUUAAGCCCUUAUUUGUUUCUAGGUUGGUUUAAGAGCUUUCAUAAGCUCGUUUGAGACUCGAAUUUGUUUAUGAAUCAUAUAUUGCUUGGAUUAUGUAAUGUUUUAUUGUUUAAUGGAAUGUUUAAAGUCAAAUUUGUUUAUGAGAUCUUUUGUUAACUGUAGUAGUAGAAUAUAGCUUAGGUCCAACGAUCAAAUUGGAUGAAAAGUGUUACAAAAAAUGUCAAUUCAACAAAUAUUUCUAACUAUUUCAAAGAAGUUGUUAUACUGAAUGUUAUAACAGAAUGCAACAACAGAUUACAACAUUCAAAGUUUCUAACAAUUACUUUUUAAAAUAGCAAUAAACAUUGAAAUUACAAUGAGCUUUCAUCAAUUUAUGUAGUAUGGUACUUGAACUUUAAUUUAAUAAGAAGCGGUAAUGCACAUGAUAUUUUGAUUUUUAUUCAGUUGUAUAUAAAAAUUUUAUUUUGAUUUAAUCUAGCAUAUUUUUUUAAAAAAAGAAGACUUUUAUUAGUUUUAUAAUUACUAUUUCACAAAUUUCAUUUUUAAAAUGAUAUAUAAUUGUUUUAUUUAGUAAAUUUAAAUUUAUCAUAUUUUAAAAAAUAUUUCUAAUUUUUUAAUUUCUUAAAAUAUUUUAUAAUUAUUUUAAAUAUAUUUUAAUAUUUAAAAAUUUAAAAGUAAUAUACUAUUUUGAAAUAUAAAUUUAAAGUGCAAGGACCAUAUUAAUACAUUUCAUAAACUUCAUGCUCCUUUAUAAAGUUAUUCUAGUUUUAAUUAUGAGAAACAUUAUCCUACAUCAAGAUAUUCAUUGAAAAUGUACCAAAAAGAAUUUACAUCAGGCUAUGUUUUAUUUUAUUUUAUUUUUUUGGUCUUUUAUUAUUCGUGCAAUGCACAAUUGAUUUAUGUUUAAAUUAAAAUAUAUUAAAAUAAUUUAUAUUUUUGAUAAAAUUUUAUAAAAACAUGAAUAAAUUUAUGAUGGUCUGUGAUGCCAGUAUUAUUAGUUAUCUAAAAAAUUAUUAUGUUUUAAAAUUUUAACAGUAUUUUUAUUUGUUUAAAAGCCUGUUAUGCAAAUAAAUCUUUUAAUUUUAAUUUUAAAUUUUUAUAUAUUUUAAUGUGUAUUUAAAAAUAUUCUGUUCAAAACUAUUUAAAUUUUUUUAAUUUUUGAAUGUUGUUUUAUAUUUAUUUUUUGUAUUUUCAAAAGUAUUCCGUAAUAAUUCAAAACAUUAUUUUAUUUGAAAUUUAAUAUACUUAUAAAUUAUAAUAAUUUAUAAAUUUUAAUAAUAUUUUAAAAUUGUUUAUAAAUUACGAUUUAGAUUGUUUUUGGUUAUUAUAACAUACUUAAAUAAAUUCAAAAAUAUUUUUAAAUUCAAAUUUUAAAGAUUGAUAAGGUUAAUAUUUUAAUAUUAAAGACUUAAUAUUAAGUGUUAAAACAAUAGAAAGUAUUAUUGAAGCUUGAGUUAUUCUUAAAGGUUUAUGUAUCGUAUGGGAGAAUGAUUAUAGACAGUUGGAGGUCGAAUGUGAUAAUGCACUUCUUGUGGAGACCUUACUAGCAGAUAACGCUGCCAGCAGUAAUUUGACGGAGUUACGAUUAAUCAAUAGUUUGCUUAAGCGAGAUUGGAAAAUAAAAAUUCGACACAUUCUUAGAUCUCAAAAUAUAGUUGUUGAUCAAAUGGCGAAAUACAUUUAUGACAAUCCACUGGGCCGAACGCUUCUCGAGGAUCCUCUGAUUUCUAUUCAAGAGAUUUUAGAGUCUCAAAGUGAUAUCUAUAACCGGAUUAUUUGAUUUUAUUGUAUUCACUUAAUGCUAUUAAUUUCCAGAAUGAAAUAUUUUUUGUAAUUUAAAAUUUUGAAAAAUUGUAUUAAAGAAAAAGAUAUAGUUUUAAAAAAAACAUAUUUUAAAGUGAUUGAAAUAUGAAAAAAAGAAUAUAUUCAGUAUACUUGUUUAGCUUUUUUUUAAGUAUUAUAUAUUUAUUUAGUUAACCAUAAUGGUAUAAGUAAUUAUAUUCUGUAAUAUUUGCAAUUUUAAUGUGGUACACCAUGUUAAAUUGGGUACAUAUUAUUUAAAUGGAAAUAUAUUUUUUAUUUGACAAAAAAUUGAGUAAAAGUAAAUUAUACAAAUUUAGAUGUCAUAAUAAGCAAUGAUAUUUAAAUUGGAUUAGAUUAGUUGGUAUAGGGGUGAGCAAAACUUGAUUCGACUUAGAAAAAUAAAAUAAAAAAUCAAAUUUCGAGUUAAACGAAUCGAGUUAUUCAAAUUAAUCGAAUUUUUUGAGUCAACUGAAAUUUUUUUUUCAAAUUUCGAGUUCGAAUCGAGUUUGAUUUUCAAAUUCGAAUAACCCGAAUAAAACAAAUAUCAAAUUAUAAUAUUUUACAUUUUUACCCUAAACUCACAAACCUAUCUACUUUCCCCAAAAAUUUUUACUUCCUCCCACUUUCUCCCAAAAACUUUUAUUCCUCUCCCAUCCCACUCUCCUUCUACCCCAAACCCAUUUUCCCCCAUUUUUUUUUGAAUAUUUGUCCCCAAAAUUUUACUCUCUCAUUUAUUUUUCCCCCAAAAUUUUACUCCCUCAACUACUAAAACUUUUUAUUUUUUCCCAAAACUUUUAUUCCUCUCCUAUCUCACCCCCCUUCUACCCCAAACCCAUUCCCCUGCCCCCAAUUUUUUUUAAUAUUCCCCCCCCCCCAAUUUUACCCUCAAUCUCCAAAACUUUUUAUGUUCCCCGUAAACUUUUACUUCUCAACUUUUACCCCCAAAUCAAAAAUUAAAAUCAUUCAAAAAAAUCUCUGAACCUAAAUAGUAAUAAUUUUAUUUAUAUCUACUAUUUAUUUUAUUAAAUUAAAUUUCACAUUUUGUACUAUUUAUAUUAUUAAAUUGUUUAAUCAUAUUGAAUUUUUAUAAAUUUUUGUUAAAAUUGAAUUAUUGAUUGUGCUAUAAAAUAUUCAUGUUAAAUUUUACGUUGGUAUCAAUUUCACAUUUUAUCUUUAAGAUAAAUUUUAUUUAAAAAUAUCAUUUUUUUAAUUUAAAAAUACAUAGUGACAAGAAUCAGAAAAUAAUUGAAGCAACUAAGCAAGCAAAGAAGCUAACCCGUAUAUAAAAAAUUAAUAAAUAAAUUAUGAGGGGAUGAAAAUUAAUAACAAAUUUGAUUAUGGUGGGAAAUUUUUAUUAUGUUAGGUGACAGCGAUUGCAAGGACUCAAAAUCAUUUUUUUAAAUUUAACUCGAAUAAAUAUAUUCGAUUUGAAUUCCAUCUCACUCGACUCGAUUACAGAAAAUUUCAAAUAGAGUUAGGAUGAUAAAAUAAGAUUCGUCAACUUGAUUAGCUUGAAACUUUUUCAUUCGAUUUGAUCGAACACUCACCUCUAAGUUGGCAUAUCAGUCUAAAAAAAGGAGUUAGAUCGGUUAACCAAGAAAACAUUUGAAACUAGUUGAAUGAAGCUAAAAAUCGAUGAAACUGCCAAUUAAAUCAAAUUUCUCUAUUUUUAUUUUUCAAUUUUAAUACUUAUUUAAUUAAACUAGAUGAAUCGAUUGAAUUAAGAACAGUGAUCUGAUUUAUUAGACUACUAGUCUAAUUGUGAAAGCCUUGGUAAAAAAAUAUAUGAUUUGACUGUAACUAUUAAAAUUAUCUUAUAUUUUCAUUAGAAAGUAAUGAAUAAUUGUAUAUGAUAAGAAUGGAGGUAAUAUGAAAUUUGAAUUGUCAAUUACUCAUGUCCAUGGAUUAAUUUAUGUUUAAAUUAAAUAUAUUAAAUAAUUUUAUAUUUUAAUAAAUAUUAUUAUUGUAAUGCAUGGGUUAAUAUUGACUUAUGACUUAAUUAAUUUUUUAUUUUAAAAUGUUUAAAGUUUGAUAUAAAGAAAACAAAAAUUAAUAAUAUAUUUUGAAUUUAAUUUUAUGGUAAUAUAUAUAUUCAUGAAAUGGUAGAAUUUGAUAAUAACUUAAAUUACGUUUGCAAUAUUGAUUAUUAUAUAUUUAAAUUAUAAUUUCUACAAAAAAAAUAUUUUACCACAAAUAAUUUUUCUUUAAACCCUAACCCUAAUAUUUUAAAAUAUAAAUUAAGUAGGUAAUAUAAUUAGCUUCAAAAGUGUGUUAUAGUUAUUAAAUAUUUUAUUUACAAUGCAUAUUUAAUUCGCAGAAAUAUUUUUAAAUAAGAAAUUUGAUAGGUCCAAAUUGUAGCAAGUUAAGUUAAAAUUUAUAACUAUUAUGUAGAACAUAAAAUAAUUGACAGUAAUUUUUAUUUUAAAUUUGAUUUUAACGGAAUAUGAAGCAUCGUAUUAAAUUAAUAAUAAAUAAAGUAUAUAAUGGAAAUGAAAAAGGAUUAAGUUAUUUAAAAUGUAUGAUGCAAAAAGGGUAAUAAUCUUAGGAAACCUAUUCAUUCUUUAUAAAAUAAAUGAUUCUGCUUAUUGUCUUUUUUAGUUUGAGCAACAUAGUGCACAUCUUGGUAUUCAAUUUCAAUUCUAUCUUUUUAUGAUGUUGAUGCAUAUUCUCUAAACAAAAUCUAAGUUGCAAUCUCGGAUAAUGUUUAAUAUGAGUAUUUUAGUUAAAAUAGCAUUUUUCAAAAGUUAGUUCAAUUAAAUUAAUUUUAAAAUAUUUAGAACUUUUUUUUUUUGAGAUAUUUGAAAUAAUAUCAAAGGAUUGAUAAUUUUUCAGCUCUGUCUUGUAGAAAUCUCUAGACUCAAUUAUCCUUCUUCUUGAAGAAAGAUCAUUUUUAUCAACACUGUAAUCAUAAAAGUAAGUUUAUAAUUAUAAUCAUAUAAGAAAACAAUCCUAAAUAAAUAAAUAAAUAAAUUACAAGACUUUGUCUUAAUAAAACAUAUGUUACAAGAUAAGGAUCUAUAUUAAACAAAUUUAUUGAUUCACAUGACGAUUCAUUUCUAUGUCUCUUUGAAGAACUAUCUCUUACCAUCGCCAAAAUCUACGUAUAAUUAACGUAAAUUGUUAUUAUAUAUUAAAUCAAUUAUAAAAAAAUGAUAAAAGUUAUGAACACAACAAUAAAAAGAUGAAAUCUAAAAACUAAUUUACCACGUACCAUAAACUUUUUCUAUUCUAACCUAAGUGUUAUAUAUAUAUAUAUAUUUGAUAUGGUUUUUAUAAUCAGUAUACAAAUCCCAAGCCAGAGAUAAUAGUUGGGAUUAUUUUCAAAUUUGUUUAUUUUAUUUUAAAAGAAAAAUAUGAAAAAUUACAUCUAAUAGGUGGAAAAAAAAAUUUAAUCAUGCAAACAAAUACAGACUUCUUAACUAUCAAAAAUGGAAAUUUAAAAAUACAAAAUCAGCAUCUCAAUAAAUCAAUAAAGAAAACAUAUUAGAAAAGAGAAAAGACCUAUCAAAACCCAGCUUAAUGAACAAAUAAUAAUAAUAAUAAUAAUAUUUUAUCGUUAAAGGAUAUUUUGCAUGUAAAUUUUAAGGGAAAUAGCGUGUACGAGAAAAGAAGAAUAGAGCACUGAAUCAAGACACAUGGAUUAACAUGUGGCUAAUUUUAGACAUACUGUUUUUUGAUAUUUUUCAGGUUUAUUUUAUUAUCUGUAUUUGAAAUUUGUGUUAUCCUUCUCAACAGAUAAACAUUAUGCUAUUUAUUAUUGUGUAAAGGAAAAGAAAAACUCAUCUACUUAUCCAAUGAGCCAGAAGCCAUCCAGCCCUCAAAUUAUUACUCAUGAUAAGUGUGUUAAACAGAUAUCCCAUUUGGGAUUUUUUUCAAAACUAAAGUUAUUGAUUAUAGAUUAAAAAAAAAAGGGUGCUAAAUUGGUAAAAGCGUAAAGUGAUUUUUGCAAUGAAAUAUAAGUAUCUUUUUAUUUAUUUAUUUAUUACAAAACAUGGGGGGGUGUUAAGGCAAUGGAAAAUUAAUACAAGUAGUUGAAGCACAUGAAUCCCAAGAUAAAUGGAUAUUAUCCAUGGGCCCAUCUUGAACUCGGACGAAUUGGAAGAUAUAUUUGAUAUCAUCAUAAGCUGGUUGGGCCAGCCAUUCUACUUUUGUUACGCUCAUUUAUGAUAUUAAGCCCUUUUUUUUUUUGGGUCACUUCCAAAGAACCCACACAUAAAAAUAUUAUGAUCUUUAUUUUAGUAUAAUAAGGAUAGAGCGAAGAGUGACAAGUCUGGCUUGUAUUUUGCUGGCAAACUUGUAGCUUCGAAUGGAUAAGAGUUGAGAGCCUCUGUGGUCUUGGGCGAUAACUGCUCCACCACUCAUGCUAUUUCGCCUGCAAUGAUCAAUGCAAAGAGAGAGUGCCCAUUCUGAGACAGGAUUAUCAAUAAGGUCCGAUCUUGGAAUUCUUAACUGAUGGCUUUGCAAGUUGUUAAUGGGAAAGGCAUUCAUUAUGGAAUCAUGGAGAUUUUGGGUCCUUAUGACUGCCCUUGCUGGAGAAUGAUCGACCAUUCUGAAAAUGAGUUGAUUCCUUGAUUUUCAAUUUAUCCAGAGAGUGCAUGCUGCAUAAGUGUAAAAAUUCUUUGAAUCGAUGGAGCUGAUGUUGUUUGAGUUGAGCCACUGAAGAAACCAGGAUGAUAGAGAAGAAAUUCGGAGACAGUCGGAUAAGAGGACAAGAGAAGAACCAAACCACUGCUCGAUCGAAACUGCAUUGAAGGAAGAGUUGUUUAAUGGAUUCCCUGCCAUCUUUGCAAAAACAAAAAAAACAAAAAACAACACACAGAGGUUAUCAUCAUCGGAAAGGCGUCUUGAGAAGAGCUCCUUGGUUGGAAGGCAAUUUGUACAUAUUUUCCAAAGGAAGAUGGUAAUAUUGUAAGGGAGUUUAAGCCUCUAUAGAUUAGUCUAUGUUUUGUUAGAGGGUGAGGCUGCAGAAGUUGAAGGAUUAAAUUGACACUCACAGGCAUAAACACUCUUCACACAAAAGCGACCAUUAAAGUUAAAUUUCCAUACAAAUUUGUUUUUACCACCCUGUAUCGAAAGGGUCCUGCUGCGGAGGUCAGAGGCCCAAUCAUGAUUGACGACGAUAUUGAGAGAUUUCUUUUGAUCCAAGAUAUUGAUGCUGGGGAGAGUACAAGCAUGAACUUAAAAUGUUGGGACAGACAAUUUAAUAGUAUCAACAAGAGGGAGAUUAGUAUUUGGCUCUUAGAAUCUUUGUGAGGAAACAAUUGUGAUCAGUCAUUAUGUGCCAUGCAAUUUUGGUGAGAAGGGCAUCAUUGAAGGUGUUGAUCUUCCUAAUACCCAGAUCACCAGCAAACAAUGGUGCACAAAUUUGUUUAAUUUAUUCUUAUUUUUUUUAGUUAUAAGUAAUAACCCUUCCAAUAUUUAGAUACAAUCGG